GGGUUUUGGGGUUGCGGUUUAGGGGUUGGGGGUUUAGGAGUUGGGGUUUUAGGUUUAGGGGUUUAGAGUUGGUGGUUUAAGGUUUGGGGUUUUGGGUUGGGGUUUGGGGAAUACUGCACUUCUACUAUACACUGUGGGCCUUGGUAUGGUGCAUUUCCACCAUGUACUAUAUGCACCAUAAAAAUUGUAACGAUGCUAUUCUAGUAUGCACAUUGCACUGUGCAUUGUGGGGUUUUGUAUGUCACACUUCCACCAUGCACUAUGCACCAUACAACUUGGAAUAGUGCACUUCUAGUAUGCACGUUGCACUUUGGUAUGGUGCACUUCAACCAUCCAACGUGCACUUUGCACCUCAGUACAGUACACUUUCACUAUGCACUGUUCAAAUUAGUGUGAAGCGGUUCCGCAGCUCACUACACACCGUCCACUAUGGUAUGAUGCAGUUUUAUCAUAACCUAUGCACCGUGCACCUUGGUACUCUGCGAUUUAGCGAUGCACCACGCAACUUGCACCUUGGUACAAUACACACCCACUAUACAGAUUCGACCUUGGUAUUUUGCAAUUCAAUCAUGCACUAUGCAUUGUUCACCUUCGUAUUGUGCACUUUCACUAUGUACGGUGUACCUUAGCAUGGUGCAUUUCCACCAUAUAUAAUGCACAAUGUAACUUGGACUGGUGCAUUUCAAUUAUGCACGCUACGGUUUAGUUUGGUGCACUUCAACUAUCCACCUUGCACUUUGCAACUUAUUACAGUGCUUUCCACUUCGCACUAUUCUCAUUAGAAUGAAGCAUGUUCACAAUUCACUCUGCACUAUGCUCUAUGGUAUGGUGCAUUUCCAUUAUACACUAUGCACCGUGCAACUUGGUACUGUUCCAUUCUGCCAUGCACCAUGCACCUUGGUACAAUGAACUCCCACUAUACACAUUGCACCUUGGUAUUUUAAACUUACACCAUGCAUUAUGCAUCGUGCAUCUUUGUAUAGUGCGCGUCCAUUAUGCAUUGUGGGUCUUGGUAAGGUGAACUUCCACCAUGCACAAUGCAUAAUAAAACUUGGAAAGGUGCACUCCCACUAUCCACGCUACACUUUGUUAUGGUGCACUUCAACCAUCCAUUUUGAACUUUGCACCUUAGUACGAUCCAUUUCCACUAUGCACUGUGGGCCUUGGAAUGACACACUUCCAACAUGCACAAUGCACCGUGGGACUUGGUAAGGUGCACUUCCACCAUGCAUAAUGCACCCUGAAACUUGGAAUGACACUCUUCCACCAUCCAUGCUGCACUUUGGUAUGGUGCACUUAAACCAUCCACCGUGCACUUUGCACCAUAGUACGAUGCACUUCCACUAUGCACUGUUCAAACUAGUGUGACACGGUUUUNNNNNNNNNNNNNNNNNNNNNNNNNNNNNNNNNNNNNNNNNNNNNNNNNNNNNNNNNNNNNNNNNNNNNNNNNNNNNNNNNNNNNNNNNNNNNNNNNNNNNNNNNNNNNNNNNNNNNNNNNNNNNNNNNNNNNNNNNNNNNNNNNNNNNNNNNNNNNNNNNNNNNNNNNNNNNNNNNNNNNNNNNNNNNNNNNNNNNNNNNNNNNNNNNNNNNNNNNNNNNNNNNNNNNNNNNNNNNNNNNNNNNNNNNNNNNNNNNNNNNNNNNNNNNNNNNNNNNNNNNNNNNNNNNNNNNNNNNNNNNUACACAUUGCACCUCGGUAUUUUGCACUUCCACCAUGCACAAUGUACCCUGAAACUUGGAAUCGUGCACUUCCACUAUCCACGCUGCACUUUGGUAUGAUGCACUUCAACAAUCCACCUUGCACUUUGCCCCUUAAGACAUCACACUUCCACUACACAUUGCACCUCGGUAUUUUGCACUUCCACCAUGCACAAUGUACCCUGAAACUUGGAAUCGUGCACUUCCACUAUCCACGCUGCACUUUGGUAUGAUGCACUUCAACAAUCCACCUUGCACUUUGCCCCUUAAGACAUCACACUUCCACUACACAUUGCACCUCGGUAUUUUGCACUUCCACCAUGCACAAUGUACCCUGAAACUUGGAAUCGUGCACUUCCACUAUCCACGCUGCACUUUGGUAUGAUGCACUUCAACAAUCCACCUUGCACUUUGCCCCUUAAGACAUCACACUUCCACUACACAUUGCACCUCGGUAUUUUGCACUUCCACCAUGCACUAUGCACUGGGAAUCUUGGUAUAGUUCACGUCUACUAUGCACUGUGGGACUUGGUAAGGUGCACUUCCACCAUGCAUAAUGCACCCUAAAACUUGGAAUGGCACACUUCCACCAUCCACGCUGCACUUUGGUAUGGUGUACUUAAACCAUCCACCGUGCACUUUGCACCAUAGUACGGUGCACUUCCACUAUGCACUGUUCAAACUAGUGGGACGCGAUUUUGCAACUCAAUAUGCACCGUCCACUAUGGUAUGAUGCACUUUUAUCAUAAUCUAUGCACUGGGAACCUUGGUACGGUGCGAUUAAGCCAUGCACCAUGCAACUUGCACUUUGGUACAAUGCACACCCAUUAUACAGAUAUCAUCGUGGUAUUUUGCACAUCAAUCAUGCACUAUGCACCGUUCACCUUGGUAUUGUGCAAUUUCACUAUGCACAGUGUACCUUUGCAUGGUGUACUCCCACCAUGCAUAAUGCACCAUGUAACUUGGAGUGGUGCAUUUCCACUAUGCUUGCUACAGUUUGGUAUGGUACACUUCAACCAUCCACGUUGCACUUUGCAACUUAUUACGGUGCUUUCCACUCUGCACUGUUCACAUUAGAGUGACGGAUUUCCACAGUUCAUCUGCACCAUGCUCUAUGGUAUGGUGCAUUUCGGUUAUGCACGAUGCACGAUGCACCUUGGUUCGGUUCCAUUCUACCAUGCACCUACCAUGCACCAUGCACCUGCCACCUUGGUACAAUGCACCCCCACUAUACACAUUGCACCUUGGUAUUUUGCACUUACACCAUGCACUAUGCAUCAUACAUCUUAGUAUAGUGCACGUCCACUUGGGCAUGUCAUCCACAUACAAACAAAUAAUGACUCCUUUACCGAAUUCAUCAAAUUUUGUAUACACACACUUCCUGGUUUGCUUUGCCAAUAUAAACUCGAAGCACACUUACACGAAACACAUAUGUGUAUGAAACACAAAAAUGAAACACAUUUGGAAAAUGCGAAAAUCCAUAAAUAAAAAAUCAAUCAAAAUCAUACCACAUAAUGAUGCAUACCCAAGAUACAUACAUCUACCAAUGUAAAUAUCCUGAAAGACAAAAAAAACAAAUAACAAAAACACAUAUCCUAGAGCCAAAAAUUAAUGAUAAAUAAUGAGUAUCUUGGGAAGGCUAGCAGAAUACUUCGCUGGAGAGGCGAAAGAGUCGUGACACCAUAUAACUACAAUAGCAAAAUGUUUAACGAGAAAAUUAAUCUUUAAGUUAGAUAUUUCUGAGAAAAUUAAUUUGUUAGCCAGAUUAAACACCUCCGGAGUGGAGAGAGAGUCGCUCGCGAGGUAGAAUUUCAAUCGAUGACCAUUAACUUUAAACGCUCCGUGAUCAGGGCAUGAAAUUCCGCGAGUUCCAUAAAGAAGAACCUCAGUUUCCGUGAAUGGACCUGACCAACGAGAUUUUAAUUUUUCCUGAAAAAGGUGAAGUCUAGAAUUAGACAAGAAAACUAAGUCCCAGGGACAAAAGUCUUUCCCAGGUUUCAACCUUGGGUCAUGAAAACGCUUUAUCCAUUCCUUAUACAACUUGGCAUUUUCAUAGGCAUGAAGACAAAAUUCCUAAAGUUCAUGUAUUUGGAACUGACGAUGAGGUCAAGUGACACUCAUAUCGAGGUUUAGAGAUUUGAAGGCCCAAACUUACAUGUGAUCCAACUCAACAGGCAGAUGGCAUGCCUUUCUGUAGACGAGCAAUAAAUUAUAGUGCCGAUAGGAGAUUUAAAAGCCGUCUUAUAUGCCAAAAGAGCAUCGUCAAACUUUUUUUACCAAUCCUUGUAAGAUUGAGAUAUCUUUUACAGGAAAGAAGUUGGCUUACAGCAUUGUAAAAGUGAGACUAGCAGCAUGUGUUAAUAUAGUUCCAGGUGAUUGAUUGCUUUAUUCUACUCGAUUUCCUCUACUUUUGCUUGCUUGGUGAAUUAUAUGUUUGAGUUGCUGUAUUGAGUAUAGCUCUCAUUAAGCAUUCUGUGUCAUAAAUAAAUUUCGGCAGGCUGUCUGGUCUUAAAUUCUUUCUACAAGCUAGACUCACAAGUAUAAAUGUAUCUCAACCACGAUAUAGCUAGAAAUCAAAGUAAAUUUCUGUCCAGUGUCAACUACAAUGAUCUACAGUGAACAUCACAUAGUGUAGCUCAAUUGAUGGGAUUUACUUUCUUUGCUCAUGUAAUGUGAUUUGCUGUAUGUCCUCUUGUCCCUCUAAUAGACUCCUUUUGCUGUUUCUCUUCUCUAACUUUCCACUCCAUUUGUUAAUGCUCUUUUAAUUGAAGUGUAGCCUUGUUCUCUAUCUUGUAAAUUUCAUAUCUGAUGUCUGACUUGUAAUGAAUACAUACAGGUAUUGAAUCAGUUUAUGAGUGGAAAGGGGAGGUAUAAUCUCUUUUCCUUGUAUAUUCUCCAAAGUUUCAACAUGAAUAGGAAGGGAGAUGCAACUUAAGUAGGAGUCAAACAGAUUCAUUCUGAGGUAAAGGCUGUUGGGUAAGUAAUCUCACUUUAAGCUGGCAUCAUGGCAUAUGCAGAUCCAGACAGAUUCUGAAGAACUUCUAAUAAUUAAGACCCGCCAGUCCUUGCUGGAAUCUCCCAUUGAACAUGUAAAAGCGAAUCAUGAAUAUGAGUAAGCCCAUAUCGACUUCUGCAUAAACCAUCUCGAAUAGUGUGCUUGAGUUGCGUUACGUUACGUUGGAUAUCAGGUGUUUAGUUGAUGAGUAAUAAUAAGAUGGAGCAUACCCAUACUAACAUUUUAAUUUUUGCUCGUUGAGAAUGGGGGUUUAGUACACCGGAAGUAAUCUCAUUGCCGAUAACGGGAGGCAGCAGUGAAUACCUAGAAUGGGUGAAGAAGAGCACCAGAGAGUGACUAGACAAGCCUUAAUGCUAAUGCUGGAGGAGCUGGACGAGAUGAUGUGGUGUUACCUGAAGAAUAACAAAUCCCUUUACUUGCUCAUCCUCCAUCACCUACUUAGUUGUCUGUUUGUUUGUUAGCUGAUAGGAUUUAUUGAUUACUUGUCAAAGAUUAAUCAGUGUUUUUUUUUUAUCAAAACAUUGCUGGCUGUUAAUCACUAUUCCUGCAUUUAAGAUAAACGUUGUCAUCUAGCUACCCAAUGAUUUGUUGCGCGGCUUACCUUGCUGUAAACAUGAGCUAUGCCCAUUUCUUAAGAAUGCUAGAUGCUGAAUUACAUGGUUAUAUGGACUUAUGGUUAUGUUUGGCAGUUGGAAAUUUUUUUAAUGUCUAAUAGUAAGUCCGGUAGUUGGAUCUGGAGUUCUGGUGACCAGAUCCGACAAGUUUUUCCAGUUACAGAGAGUUCCUGAUUCCAAAAAAAAAUUGUGUCCGUUGGACCACUUUUGUUGGAGUUGUUCUUUGGGAUAUUUUUUCCGUUGAUAUGUACUUGUUUUUUAAGAACGAUACACAUUUUUGUAAACGAGUGCAAGCAUGGGCAGCAGCGAUGACAACCGGCGAGGGUUACCAACGACGACCGACAUCGGUGGAGAUUGGGUACCGGAGUCAGCUUUAUUGGAAGGAGGACACCAGAAGUCUAGAAUUACGAUGGAGAGAAACCAUGAGAGAGAAAGGCACCCAGUUUAAAGCAAACAUUCAAAUUUCAAACAUUUCAAGUAUUAAUCUUCGCCAUUCACAUUCAUAGUUUUGAUCUAAUGGUUAGGGAAAACGCGGUGGCAGUUUGGGCAUAAAGUUAUAUCUAUUUUUUUUUAUUAUUUUCUUAACUCCCUAUUCGACAAAAGAGCUUCAGCCUCUUGAACCUGUCCACCGAUGAGCACCCACCAACAGCCGAUGAGCACUAGCCUCCGUGCAUCUUCGACCACCAACGAGUACCACCCUUCGAGGACCUCUAAAGAGUACCACUCCUUGGGCGACUACAUCUGAUGCCAAAUCUAUAUAUGGAUCAGAUCCGCACACACUUAGGUGAUUGAAGCUUUAGGAUGGUAACACAAGCACAUUCCAUUAUCGGAUUCUCUCCGAGAUAUUCAGCAGGUUGCACAUACAUACCAAGAUAUGAAAUGAUUUUGUUUUCUGAAAGAAAAAGCAUUGCACUUUCAGGACUACACCUCCCAAUUCAAAAGCAUAGUAUUUGCAGUCUAAUAUCUGAAACAAGCUUGAUGCAAAGUUUACAUAACCCACUUCUUUCUGUCACAAUCAGAGAACCCACCCAAUACAUCAUCAUGACAUUCAAAAGGCCACCUCCUUCAUAACCAAACACUAAACACUCUUCUCCCAGGUUUAUAAACUGUCUGUCUCCCCCUUUCUCUAGGGCUCAUCCAAUUGUUCCUGCAAAGACAAACCCAAAUGCAGUCGUUUUUAGUAUGCAUUAUUAUGAUUCAAUCUCUUACUGCAUGGUCAAGUACCAGUACAUCUGACUCACCUGGACAUCUGAUGUCCAAAGAGUGAGGUUGUCCCGUAGGAGUUGCAUGAUCAGGGUACUAUCUUUGUAUGAUUCUUCACCCAAUGUAUCUAUCUCAGCGAUCGCUUCCUCAAAGGCCUUGUACAAUCAAAUCAAAUACAAUCAACUCUCAACCUCACAAAUUUUAGCCCUCAAAGUGUAAACACCACCACUAUAAUCACAUAUAUAGUCCUUAUCCAAUUCGUACACAUUCACAUAUGAGCAAGCUUUAACAUAAGAACCCAAUAAUCUGCAAGUAUAGAUUGUUUACCCAGUGUUUGUAUAGGUAAACUAAAGGAUCAUAAAUUGUCAUUAUUCUUUUCAGGUAACAGAGUAAAUGCGCAUCAACUUCCAAACUAGAUUAUAAAAAAUAACAUAAUCAACCAUUGAAGCGCAAUCCUAGCACAACCCAAGUGCACAAAUAAUGAUUCCUUAAUAUUACUAGACACUCCAAUCUAAUUCUGUCACAGGAUCUCUACCUUCUGAGAAAACUGAACAAUGAAAAAGCCUGAGAUGGAAUUUAAAACAUCAUCCAUUUAUACAUACUUGACGAUGAGACUAUUAUGUCAUGCAAGUCCAAAUCCUUGAUAAAGCUCUGCAGGGAUUAAGACUAGCAAUUCUCGUACAAACGAACAAGAGCAUCAUCAUAAAACAGAGUUGUAGGCAGGCAGCCUAUGGGAUAACUAUUGCUAUGUUUGGCAAUUGGAAUCAUGAUUCCUAGGAAAGUUGAAUUGAAAUAAUACAAAAUGGUUGAGUUGAGGUUAAAAGGAAUUGAGAAAUAAAUAUUAAAUUUAAAGGAUAUGAAGAAAUCCUAGAAAAGUUUAUUUUCCCAUGAAAUAGAUUUGGAAUCCUUAUUUCCUUUGAUUCAAAUUUCCAUCCGCAAUAUUUUUCUACUCCAACUCAACUUCUUUACACUAGUUUCAACUCAACUUUCCUCAGAAUCAUGAUUUCUAUUGCCAAACAUAGGCUAAGAGAAGCCAAACAGAGACUUAAACAAAGAUGAAUUAACCUUGUUUACAGCAGAGAAAAGAUUUAACACACCUGUUUAGCCAUACUGCAAGCUUUGUCAGACUGGUUGAGGAUCUCGAAGUAAAACACCGAGAAAUUGAGAGCCAGACCCAACCUAAUAGGAUGCGUCGGGGCAAGAUCCGCAGCAGCAGUUUCCUUUGAAAAUUUUAUUAAACAUAAAUCAAACCAUCAAUCCCCACUAGAUGAUUUCUCCAAGAUUAACUUCACCAUACAAAUUCGUCAGGACAUGUGAUUCGAGUAAACAGUACUUCUAACCGAAUCAAAACAGUGAAACCCUAGAAUCUCAAUUAUUUCAAUAUUUUCAUCCAAUUCAAUAUAUGAAAUCCAUCCGCAGAAAAUAAUCUAUAGAGGGAAGCAAGCUCUAUACCUGAGCAACCUUAUAAGCCAGCAUAGUAUCCUCAGCAGCGGUCUUCCUCUCAUCGCCAACCUUGAAUUCGGCCAAAUACCUGUGGUAGUCUCCCUUCAUCUUCAAGUAAAACACCUUGGACUCACUAGAGGUGGCAGACGGAACCAGAUUCGAGUCGAGUAGACGGAGAAUACUAGCGCAGAUCUCAGAGAGCUCGUUCUCCACUUUAGAUCUGUAAUCCUUGACGAGCACCACGUGCUCCUCGUUCUUCCUCCCUUCCUCUUUUUGCUCGAUCGAGGAGACGAUCCUCCAGGCGGCGCGGAGGGAGCCGAUAACGUUCUUGUAGGCGACGGAAAGGAGGUUACGCUCCUCAACGGUGAGUUCUGCGGCGGGAGUGGAGGCGAGAACAAGCUUUUGCAUGAACUGGACCAUUUCCUCAUAGCGCUCGGCUUGCUCGGCGAGCUUGGCGAGGUAGACGUACUGGUCUCUGGUGAAGUUGUCGGGUAGUGCAGCCAUUUUUGCGGUCUUGAGUGAGGGUAUUGCGUUCAGUUUCUGGUUUAGAGGAGUGCUUGGUUUCCGGGAAAAGGAAGAGAGAGAGAGAGACGGAGAGGAACGAGCGACUGCAGUUGGCGCUGGAGGAAUAUUUCGUUGCUUUAUAGGGACUUGUUUUUAGUUUCCUUUAAUUAUUUGGGAAAAUUAAAAAAAAAACUAGCCAAAUUAUGAGUGGGUUUUAUUAAAUUUAAUUUAAAUUAUUUAAAAUUCGGAUUUCAGUGUUUCGUCUUUUUCGUCCAAAUUAACAAAAAUUCGGACAUCCAAAAUAAUGUGCCUCCUAAUAUAGUAAAUUAAAUACCACUUCACCAAUUCAGAAUAAAAUAAAAUAAAAUAAAUAAGUUAAUAUUGUAAAACUAAAAAAAAGUUGUAAAAAUGAAAAUAUGAACAACAUAAAAACUAGAGUACAAAUGUAAAGAGAGAAGAGAAUACAUUUUUAUUGAUAUGUUUCUAUAUACAAUGUGAUAUUCUAUGUACAGGAACACUUUACAUAAUUCCUAUAAUUCCUACAUUUAAUAGACAUGAAUAUGAGAUAAUGUGUAAUUAAGGAAAAAGUUAACUAUGGGUUGAGCGGUUACAAAUAACACACAUAUAUGCAUCUAAUGUGCUUAAUGGUCAUUCAUAUAUAAUCAAUAUUUACAUAACACUCCCCUUGGAUGACUAUUAGAUGAGAAUGUGGAUCUAACCCGCACUCGAAAAACCCUACGAGAUAAAAACCCAGUUAAAGAAAAGAGUACAUAACCAUCAUAUUACGCUGUUUAAGUCUGCCUCAUUAAAAAACUUACAAAGAAAACCCAAUGGGAAAAAUGGAAAACCCAGUGGGAAAAACCAUGAUUAAGGGAAAAAGAGUGCAGUGUGUAUAUACUCCCCCUCAUGACGAAAUCAGUGCAAAGCAUAUAUAUACUCCCCCUCAUGACGACAUCAAUGCCCAUUAUUGUCGGGAGUGACAUAGUGAUAAAUUUUGAACGAUUUUUCACUUGAUUGUUGGUUUACACACUUAUUUCACCAUUGUCUUGCGUUUAACGCUAAACAAAUAAAUUGGUUAAGCAUAGUUUUGCUAACGCAAUCUUCUACCAACUCGAGGAUAUUUGCAUUAUAUAUUUCAUGUAUCAUCUAUAGGAUCACAUAUGUGAAUGGCGAUGUGGUGUUAUAAGCCUAUUUCACAAACCACAUAUAGUGGCAUUAUAUACAAUCAAUAUUUUCCACCGCCAACAUGUAUUUAUAUUCCAAAACCACGUAGUAUCUCAUUUCGUUGUGAAGGUCGAUUAAAAUCGACAUAUAAUCACAUAUAGUAAUCUUACCACCAUCAAGACUCUUAUAUCCAUAAUGUAUCCAUAUAAAUACUUGAUGUGUAUUAUUAGUAUAUCAUUGAUGAUAUACACGAGUCAUGUGCGAGAGAUGCAUAAUUUGCAAGUUAGUGGUAAGAUUUAUCUUUCCAUAUCUUAAACUCUCUAAUCAAAUACUUGAUUGCUUUGAAAAAUUCUUCAUGAGUUUCAAUAAAAUAUUUGUCAUCUAUGAAAUAAAAGACGAUGAAGACAUUUAAAGUCUGACAAACAAAAUAAAUACAUUGUAAAUACAAAAUAAAAGUGAGAAUUUUUUUUGUACGAAAAUAAUCUCGAAAUCAUAAAAUAUGUUAAAGUAUAGUUGGAUGUGGCUGAGAAUCGAUAGAAGCAACAAGUAGAAAAUACGAUUAGGGAGGCUAGCUCCAAGAAAGGGGAUAGGGGUAGUUCCCUGGAAAGGUAUGAUGUGUUCGUCGAAAAAUGGAAGUUGGCCCUCUAUUCAAUGGAUCCUACAACAUCAUUCAAAGGAUAAAACCAGGGACGCAUGAGCUAGCUUUGGCAACAAAGUUAAACCUGAUGCGCAACGUGUCCCUGGUGAAUGUAUUCAGGGCGUAUAUUGGUAGAUGGAGUCAGGUAAUCCAAGUAGAUGAUGCUGAGUUAGAGAGGAACAUGGCUCUUGGGGAGUAGGUUAUUCAGAUAAGGGAUUCAGGGGUGUCCGCAAGCUUAGAGAUGCUGACAAUGAAGGUGGUCUAGUGGAAUCAGGAUGUUGAGGCUGUGGCAUGGGAAACCGAGUAUAGCAUACGAAAGCGCUACCUAGAGCUUGUGGAGAAUCACCUGUCUGAAUAUUUCUCCUUCCUAGUUUAGCCUUCAGCCUGAUUUCUCCUUCCUAGUAGGAGGGGAGAGUUGUGACACCCCAAUUUUGGGUCGACUCUCAACUCUAGUUUUGGGUGUGAGUCUGAUGGCAUCUGGUGUGACGGGUGGAUGAUCAUGAGUGUGAUAGUGAGCCUGUCACGUGUGUGGUUGCCCGAUCAACCACGGUCCUGGUCAGUAGUCUAUCAUGAGUGUGACCACCAGUUCAUCGCUGUCGUGACUAUUAGUAGAUCACAGGCGUGAUCGUCAGGGAAUCGUGGGCGUGAUGGACUUAUUAUAAAACCAUUCUACGACAUGAGAACUCAAAAUACCACAUCAACUAAAACCUAAACUCUUUGAAGAAAGACACUCUCAUCUUAGGAGGAUAAGAUCAAUCCAGGGAAGAAGGCGAAGCUAAUCGAUCCCUGAUUGCUGUUAGAUGGGUAGAGAGGUUAGGAGAAGCAUCAAAAGGUAAUUAAUCUUCUUCUCCUCUCUUAAUCCUAUGGUUGGAAACUCAUGUAGGAAAUCCCGACAGUUAGGAUUUUUGGGAUUCAAUUCUUUGAUUGAUCUCUUCAUGUCAUUCGGGAUAAGCGGCUAGGCUUCGGGAUGGUUGCUUCAACUUCAGACUCUACUUUAUCAGAGGUGGGGGUUUAGGAUUACAUUUUGCUUUAUAAGUGUAGAACUAUAAUAGGAUGUUUCGGAAUCCAAUGAUGGGAUUCCUAUUGUCGUGUAUCAUGAUAUUGCGCGAGGGCUGUCAGGCUGUACAGUAGCGUGUGAUCUAUUGUACAUAUAAUUAUCACGAUUCGAGCAUAAACUCUUAAUAGAUGAACUGUGGCAUAUGAUCCACAGUUCAUGAUAGGACAUGACAGGAUAUGCCUAACUAGGCUUGAUCAUGAUUAUGUUGCGUUGGUACCCACCCCCGGAUUGUGCAAUCCCGUAGGAAAUUUAGAUUUCAGGGAGGAUUUGUAGAGUAUGCUUACAGAUGAUGCUCACACGGUUAUUCAGGGUGGUUUCAUGGUCUGAUCCACCAUGAGGCUGUCCACACACAGUUAGGGGUGGCUAAUGCUAGGUAGAUGCCUACAAGACCGCAUAUUCACUUUACUAGAGUAGCGAUUAGAUAGUCUUCAAUGGUCUAUCAAUUAUUUUAGUCUCAGUUCUACGCGAGUCUAGAUAGCCACUCAAUGCUUAUCACUGACUCCGUCAGAAGUUUGUUUCCCUUGUUGUAUCUGUGUAUUUCAGUCACAGAUACUAGAACUGAAGGUGGGGAGAGAGCUGAUCGGAGUUUUGAUAUCAUCAGAUAUCUUUUUUUGAUGUAUUUAGAACUGGAUUUGUAUCUCCUCUUAUCAUGUAUUGUGAUUUGGGAUCCGAGAUCCUUGUCUGUCAGAAUUUAAAAGGCUUAUUUAAAGGUUCCUUGUUCAGUUUCUAGUUCAGUUUCUAAUGCUUUUUAUGCAUUUGUUAGUAGUCGUAUGUCGAGUUUGGUUCAGGUUCAACCCGAAUAGGAUUUCUUGGUUGAACCUACGAUUCGAUUGGGACUUCUAAGGUGGGAUUUCACACUCGAUAUGUACCCCACAGCUAAGCCUCUCAAUGUGAUUUAUGUGACGAGUGGCGUUUGCGAUUUUGUGGAAGAAUUUUGAGUUACAGUCACCGAGUCUACACCAUAUUUUCUUGUGUUAUGACGCCAAGAAAUCUCGUCCAGCUUGCACAACUGAUCAAGUCAACAUUUGAGUCCCGCUCGAACUCCUCCCUCAACGGCAAUAAGAUCCCUUGUUCUUCCAUCUGUCAAAGUCAUCAAUAAGAACCAAACACUCAUUUAUCUGAAGCCGAACAUGUAAAAUUUUUCCUUAUUUCAAGUUUUCAAUUUUUCCUUCAACUGUUUAAGUUUCCCAGCCAAGAAAAACAAGCGAUCAAUCCCACCAAUCUCACUGCACCAAACCGUCUGAAACCAAGAGGAAAAAGUCUCAUGCUCAAGAUACAUCGAUUCAAAACGGCAAGAUCAGUUGAUCCCAGGUUGAGCAGAACAAUCAAGAACCAAAGGGCAAAGGUCAGAGCAAGUCUUGGUGAAGGCCAUGACACUACAACCAAGGUAAUGAAAUUCCCAGUCUGCGGAGACAAAAAUCAUGUAGAUUAGAGAACAAACGUCCUGAAAGUUUGACCAAGUGAAAGAAGUCUCACUCAAAGGAAGGUCAAUGAGCGCCAAAUCCUUGAUCCACUCGUUAAACCAAGACAUCUCGAGUCUACUCCUUGGACCACCCACUACAACGUUCACCACGGCUGUUUUCCACAAAAACCUCCCCACAUAGUAUCUCAACACAACCAGUCUUCUAUAAUUGAACUCUUAUUGUCCUACCCGGUUCUACGACAGUAAUCAUCAUAUAUUUGCUAUCUAUCAACAUAUGAUUUAAUCUGAAUGUAGCCCAACCGUACUUUGCUUCUUCAUUCAGAUCAAAGUUAUGCAACAAUCAAAUCCACUUAGAUAUUGAUGUCCUUAAGUUCCCACAUCACCCAAGUUUGCCUUUUCACCUAAAAAGAAACGGCAGUUGGAAGGGUGUAUGUAGAAGAAGCUUACAGAAACUAAGAUAAAAUGGAACGCCGGACAGGCAAAGCUUACAUCUGAUGUAAUUUUGUGCACUUUAUACAAAAUGGGAUCGCACUUCCCCUGAUACAUCAUCCAAGACCUACUGCUGCUAUUCCUUAUCUAUAAAAUUCCACAGAGAAACUAUAUUGCUGCAGUGGCACUGGACAGUUUUCUUCACCAAAUUGAUUGCUUGAUCCCGAGUCCAUUACAUGUUAAUAUAAGUCCCUUGUAACGGUUAAGAUACUCCUGCAAUCCACCACGGGACCAUCAUUCGUUCUCAGUCAAUCAUUGUGGAUCAAUCAGAUUACGAUACGCCGAAUAGGCAUUAAUAAAGACAAAGUGAGAAAGAGGAGUAGAGUGAUGUUUACUAUAAUGUUGUAGUCGUAGACAUGUGACAUCCCUGUGGUAUCAUACUCUCUCCUCCUUUCCGGAUCGCUCAAAACUGUUCAGCACAUAUAGCAGCUGCUUCAGUAACAUAGGAAGAUUUACCUUUCUUCUUUUCCAGAAGAUCGACAUUAUAAACCCCAUCAUGACAACACAAUAGACAAACUCCAAUCCUUACAAUCAAGAUUAAGGCAAAGUUGUGAGAGACCUAAAAGAAGGUUAGACAAACAAAACACAUGAUGUACAUGCUUGAAGAUAGAGAUGAGCUCCAAAGAGUGCAGGAAUUCUAAGGAACAAGAACAUUGCACCUAGAUUCAGAUAACUUGUGUUCUUUCUUAGUCAUGGAAAAAAAGAUACAAAGUUUAUGUUCUCUCCUCCCUUGGUUCCCAGUCUCCUGUUCUUGCGAUGGGAGAUCAUCCAAUGCAAUAUGCAAAGGCAUAACCUCUCCUAACGCUUCUUGCUUAACAAACAAUAUGGCAUAGCUGAGAUAGGGAUUAAAAGCAUUUUAAGACAAUAUUUUAAAGCAAGCAAACUCAGCUGCUCAUCUGGUGUGUCUUUCUCUAUAAAGAAGGAUGGUUUACAAUAAGGAAUCAACUUGAAUAUCAAACAAAAACAAAGGUGGGUCGUACACCGCAAAGGAAAGCCAAAUGACCCAAAUAAAGGAAAAACUAUAUAACUUUUCAGGCUAUCCUAUAAGAAGUAGUAAGUCCGUCAAUGCUACUAGUCCACCAGGCCAUAGCCCCAGAAUUUGAUAGACUUAUGAGACAAGACUUUUGUUCACUACAAUCCUCAAUUCUCUGCGCACAACCGAACCCCUAGACUCCAUAAUGAGACCAACAAUCUAACAUCUCAAAUUUCCCACCCUAAUUCUGCUGCAACAUCAGACACAAAAAAAUUCUUAAAUCUAGCAUGUGUUGUUUGGUUCCAAGUAGUAGUAGCCAAGAAGGUACCAAGCAACAAAACUAAGUUAUACCUAGUCAGAAAUUCCUAGUCCAAUUGAUAUCUGCAGAUAUAAAGAUGAAGGGAGAAAUACACAUAAGGUUGUGUGCAGAGCAAUUUGAUCUGUGAAGGAGUAGUUGUAUAACUUGAAUUCCGAAGAGGGUCAACUACUUUUGCUUCAUCGACUGCUGCGAAGUGGCAACUCCAAUUCCGAAGAUAAUAUGAUUGAAAUAUUCAGAACUGACAUCCCACCCACACCCACAUUCGUUUUUCCUAAUUUUGACAAAACUUAAGGUCAUUCUUACUACACAAGGGUGUAACUUGACCACUUUGCAGCUACUCACUAAAAUGAAAAAUGCAGGCCAAACAACUACCAUCAACAGAGAUACUUCCCAAUUGAAUUCUACUAUGCCCAGGUACUAAUGGUUGGAGAUUUUCCGUUUGAUAAAAGGAAUAACAAAAGACGGAAACAAACGAAGAAAAGCAGGAUAUGUUAAAGUAAUUACACUUCCAUCAACAUAAAGAAAGCAAGGACCUUGGUAAGCCUCAUUAAUGUCUUGAAAUCGAGAAGUGGCAUUGUCCUCCUGGUCCUUGUGCUUAUCGGGAUGCCAUUUCUAAAACAAUCAGAAUUGGAAAAGAAGUUGAGAGCUAAAUAGCUAGCAUGAUUAACUAGUGAUAAUCGAGGCAAAAAUGAAGUAGUUUGUGGGUGAGGAGGGGAACCAGAGCGAGGCGGAUGUAAUUGGAGCGAAUAGCAUCAUCAGAAGCAUCGUAGUCGACUUCCAGAAGCUUGUAGUAAUCCUGCAUGUGACAAAUGAAAAUCACACCCCCACCCAGCAUCAUAACCCUAAAGUUAGGAAAAUGAAGAGAAAAAAAGGUUGAAUGAUAGAAGAAGAAAAGAAUAAGGGUACCUUGGGGUUGGAAACGAGAGAGAAGAAAUCGAAAUUGAGGUAAGCGUCCUGGUGGUUGGGCUGAUGAGAAGAAGAUUGAGGAUCGUCGAAAUCAUCGAAAGUCAUCAUCGAGUUGGAGUCGAAGACUUACAACAAUGUCUGUGGAAAUAAAAUCCAGGGAGCGAGAGAAUUUUGGGUUGCAAUUCCGGAGGGAUCUUCUUCUUCUAGGAUUUCGUUUCGGUUCGGGUCCUUGGAUAUGGCGUUUGUGUACAUCGGUGUGCCCCAUACUUACGUUUGUUUAUUUCUUUUUAUUUUACACUAAUUUUAGUUUUCCCCAGUGGUUUUAGGGGUUGUUUGGUAUAGGAGAAUGAGAGUGAAGAAAAUAUUGAAAUAGAAAAUGAAGAAAUUGGAAAUUAAUUGAUUUUUGAGAAAGUUUAAAUACAUCUGUGUACCCCAUAUUUACGUGUGUUUUUCUUUUUAUUCUUACACUAAUUUUAAUUUUCCUGUACCGUAGUUGUUUUUUAUAUUCUAAAGCUGGCAAAAAUGUUGUUCGAUCCGACGAGCUUGCCUAAUAGGUUCGAUUCAGCCCAGUUCGUGACUCAAUUGACUAGAAAGUCAAUAGUUUGUCACUCGACGAGUCUGUGACCUGAUAGACCCGCAAUCUGACUAAUCCACAAUUCGAUUAACUCGGAUGAAUCAUACAUGUUUUUUCAGAGCUACAUAAUCUAUCUGCAGACUGCAAUAGACACCGCAGCUGAUGCUAAUGACUUGCGUUAUUGACUAUUGGAAAGCUUGGGUGGAAUCUAAGUUUAGAAAGUUGACUCUUAUAGUCUCUUAACUCUUAUGGUAUGUUCUAGCCUCCGGGGCGUUCUUUGGAAAGAAAAAUUAAAUAUUACAAAAAUUUAUAUUUUGAAUUGUUGGAUAAAUAAGAAAAAUGACAUCAUAUUAUUAUUCUUAUUUGGCAAAACCUUGACUUCCCGUCUGAUAUGAAAAUCGGGAAUAAGAUGCAAACUGUGGCAUGCAGGAACCCAUCUGCCCCAAACGAAAUUAAGCUCCAUAAUUUCUCAAAUUAUAUCCUGAAAGAACAUACGAAAACAGAUAGUACAAAUGCUAAAUUUGUGCACCCGAAAAAAUAGUACUUGCAGACUGAACAUAGGAAGGUUAUUGUAACCUCUUGCUUCUUGAUGAUUUCGAUAAAUCUCUGAAACUCAUUUGACAACCCCUUCUUCUUGACCACCAAUGGAUAGAAUCCCAGCAUUCUUCUUGAUUUCCUCCGGAGUGAGCACAAAAUUGCUGGAGUAGUAGUCACCACUAGUGUCUUCUCCUCUUCCUCUAGAAUGUUAAUUGAAAUCUCAUCUGGCACAAUCUCUGGCACUUGAACAGAUUUGGGAUUUCCCUAAAUCGUCUUACCGCUCCUCAAUGUAGUUUCACAUCCAUGUGUCCCUUUCCUGGAUGUUGAUUGUUGUUGGGGUUCUGCUCGAUGUUCCUCGAGAGCUUUCCAUAAGGCCUCUGAUCGUCCUUUUAUGCCAACGAUGUCUAAGAUGCUUCCGUCCUUCAUAUCAUAGCUUUUUUACACUGUAAAAUAGUAUUUUGAUUAGCCAAUUAUGCCUACAUGGUCUUCAUCAUCUGGAGGAUGUCUUGAUUGAUUCCUCUAGGAGUUGUCGAAUUUUGCUGUGGUUGCUACUGAGUUGGUUUGAUUGGAAAUCCUGGUGGCCCUUGAGGAGUAGUGUUUUUUUUACAUUGUAAUCUUCCACUCUAGGCUUAUAGAAAUCCAACGUCCUCCUGGGUAUGUGAAGUUGUACUGUCGCCCUCCGAUGUUCUUUUCUAUGAAGUCUUGAUACCCCUGCUUUAAGAGAUUCAGCAAUCUCUCCUUCUUAUUCUGAUGAGCACGAACCCUGAAGAGAUUUUUGAUUCGAUUGGGACCGUGUCACUACCGGUGACAUGAAAUGAAUUCUCACCUAUGCAAAGAAAAACAAAAAAAAAUCGUAAAAAGUAACCGUGAAAGAAAUAAAAUUUAAGCGGAAGUGAAUGAUUAAUACUAAUUGAACUACUUUCAAAUACAAUAGAGAAAUUCCCGGCACCUGCCCCAAUUUGAUAAAUGUUUUUUACACGUCUCAAAAUAAACCUAAUUAACGAAUUAAUCAGGGUCGAUUCUCCCUAGGGUCUCUCAAUGUAUCUAACCGAGCAUACCAUAAGGAGAAGUCUGAGGUACCAACCAUGAAAGCAUAAUCAUUAAUAAUAGUAUUAUUAAUAUUCAGCAUAAACAUGCCAUUGUUAUAGUGGCCGAAGCCUACAAACACACCACCCUUAGAUAGUACAUAUCUUUUAGAUUCGUAUACUUAUUUGUAGCCAUAUCUAUUAAGCAUACUACCCGACAUUAAGUUCUUUCUAAUCUUAGGGACGUGAAGUACAUCUCUAAGCUCUAGCCAUUUUACAGAACUAAGCUCCAACACCACCGAUCCACGUCCAACAAUAGGGGUCGUUGACUCGUUGCCCAUGUGAAGUACAGUAUCGUCAUCUGAUGCCUUGUAUAUUUUGAACCAGUGACGAUCCUUGCAUACAUGCUUGUUGGCACCCGAGUAAAUCCACCAUGCCACUUCAUCAUCCUGUACAUAGAAUGCUUCCGAUAUUAGUGAAACANNNNNNNNNNNNNNNNNNNNNNNNNNNNNNNNNNNNNNNNNNNNNNNNNNNNNNNNNNNNGGUCUAAGAACCGACCUUUCGAAGUGGAAGUCCCUUGAUCUUUCGAUCCAAGAUUCUGAUGCUGUUUUUUUCGUGAUUCUGACUCUUCUUGGUGGGACACUCACGUUUGAAGUGACCUGUUUUCUCACACGUCCAACAAGAAACCUUUGUUUUCUUGUUAGAGUCUCCUUUGGUGUUGUUCCAAGGGCGCUUCUUGCCCUUCCGUCAAGCAUAUGGCUCUCCUUCUUCUAUCAUAUGAACAGAUGAAGAAUCUUGCGAUUUCCCCCCUUCUCGAAUCUGUAGAGACUCCACUAUCUGUAAGUGGCUUCCAAGUUGGAUCAGGGACAGUUCCUCCUUCCCAUGCUUAAGAGUAUGCUUAAAGUCCUUCCAUGAAUAAGGAAGCUUGUCGAUUAUGCUCGACACCGAGAUGGCCUCGUCCAUCUUCAUUUUAUGUUGGGCAAACUGUCCCAAAAUCCAAAGCAUAUCAUUAUACUGCUCCAUGACCGGUCUGGUCUCGACCAUUUUUAAUUUAGGAAAUUACUAACCAGGAACUUCGUGCUAGAAGCAUCCUUAGCCAAAUACUUUGACUCCAGCACAUCCCACAACUCGUGGGUCGAUUCAUAGUUUUGAUAGAUAUAAAAUAAUGAAUCUACCAUGCCAUUCAGAACAUGGCCACGACAUAUGUAGUCGUCAUUGUCCCACUUUUGCUGCUUCCGUACUCGUUCCUCCUUCUUCUUGUCGUCUGUCUCCGUCUCCUCCUCAAGGUCUGGAGGAUAAGGUGUAGAGAGAACUAUAGUGUAGAGAGAACAUACACGACCUUCAAAGUGGUGAGAAGGAAGUGCUUCUUCUUCUACCACCGACAGAAAUCCACACCUUCAAACUUCUCAAGUUUGCCAAAUGACGCUGUCAUUUCCUUGAUUGCUGCAACCUUGGACAUGGCAAAUACUCUUUUCGAAUGUUAGCUUACGAGGUUCCAAGUAGCAAUACUUCAAACUCUGAUAGGUGACGAGAUCUAGGAUCAAGACGGAAUCGUGGGUACCACUUUCCGAAAAGAGUAUUUCCACCCUUACAAGCCUUGGGUAUCAGGAAAUCCCUUCCGAGGAUAAGACCGUCUCACUAAGAACGUCUCCACUCACGUUCUUAGGCUUUAGAUACUAGAGUCCCUUAGAAUUGUAGGCUAGGAUAGAUCAUUUUUUCUGUGUGUGAUCCCACUACAACCUUCUUUAUAUAGGCAAGGGGUCAAGGUCUGAAGGGGCAUGAGUCCAAGUACCAAGAGGUGCUAAUAUCCUCAUGGAUAGACUUGAAGGUAACUACCUUGAUGUCCUACGGGUUUGGAGGGAAAGCAACUCCAAAAUGAGUUUGAAAUUCAUGAAGAGGUGUGUAGCCAUUCAUCUUAGGAAAAGGAAUAACCACCCCAGCCACCUAGCUCCCUACCAUCGCUGUAGCUCAGAUCAGUACCGCAGCUAGUGACACUAUCAUCCAGCUCAAGGAUGAGCUGGACGAGCUUUAGUGUCAGUCCCUAGCAUCAUCUAGCUCACAGGGGAGCUGAUGUCAGCUAGCUCCAAGCUAAAGUGAGGUUUCUCGUGAACUCACGUAUCCGUCUCAACUCCGGCAUCAUACCAAGGUCAAGUCCAUGGUGUGACAUCAUACCAAGGUCAAACCCAAAGUGCAUAUUUCCAACAACAUACACUUGAGAGUUUGCAACAUUAGAUCAAUCUCUUGUUUAGCUAGAGUAAACAAUCCUGCAGGACAUUUUCCAUUCUGCAAACGCCACAAAUCUGUCUUUAUAUUCAUAAAUACCAAGUCUUGUCUUUCCUUCAAAUUGUUUUUACUUUUGCCCUUUCCAUUAAUAACUGUGAAUAAAAUGUUGUCACACACAUUUUUCUCGAUAUGCAUCACGUCUAGGUUAUGACGCAAUAGAUUGUGUUGCCAAUGUGAUAGAUAAAAAGUGUACUACACUUCUUCCACUGUCGUGUUUUCUUAGUGGCUGAUCUAGGUCUUUUCUUCCCAGUUCUAGGAUCAAUAAUCUUGCCAAAUGUGAUGUUUAUAUCCUUGAGUUGUUCAAGGAUUUGAGUUCCAUAUAGAAGAGGAGGAGGUGGCCUAAAUACAGUGUGGCUAUUGAAGCGGGCUCCUUGAUUUCUAAACCGAUGACUCAUUGGUAAAAAUUGACGACUGCUCAUGAAGCAAGAAUUACCACUUUUUGGAAGACGAAAUGGAGUGGUAUCAAAAUUACAAGAUGGACAGGCUAUAGCUAUCUGAGUGUUCCAUCCAGAUAGAGCGUCUAGUCUAGGAAAGUCACUAAUAGUCCAAAUUAGAGCUACUCUCAAUGUGAAAUUUUUCUUCUUUGCAGCAUCAUAUGUAGUGACCCCAUCCCAAAAACUAAUUCUUCAAUUAACAGACCAAGGUAGACAUCAAUGUCAUUUCCUAGUUAUGUUUUUCGAGGAAUGAUACUAUUUGACAUCAAACUCGUUUGCUUCAUGCACAACCAAGGGGCGGUGUUAUAUGGGAUUAGAACUACUGACCAAAUACUAGCAGUCGUCCCCAUGGUUCCAUAAGGGUUGAAACCAUCACUAGCAAGUCCUAGCCGUACAUUGUGUGGGUUACUACCAAACAUAGGAUAUUUGAUAUCAAAGUCCUUCCAAACUUUUCAAUCCCUUGGGUGUCGCACUUUACCAUCAUUUGCUUCAUCGGUUGAGUGCCAAACCAUAUACCCAACCAACUUAGAAGACAAAUAAAUCCUCUUUAACCGAGGAAUUAGAUGAGAGUACCACAAUACUUUAAUCGGAAUUUGCUUCUUCGUAUCACUUAUAGUACUCCCAGUCUUUGUCUUUGUAUAUCUGAAAGAAUGACCCACUUGCCAUUCUUUGUCAUCUAUAGCAUCACACCAGAACAACAUGCAAUCCAUUUUACAUGCAUGUAUCUUUUUAUAAGUCAGACCUAGUGCUUUUACCAUCUUCUCUGCCUCAUAAAUAGUUUUUGGAAUUCGAGCUGACUCGAGUGCUUCUACCAAAAGGUCAAGAAUCAUUGACAUUGCUUUAUCACUGAUCUUAUGCAUAUAUUUGAUGUGGAACAAACGUGUCAAAAAUGACAACUUUGUAAAGUUCUUACAACCAUCGAAUAAGUCUUCUUCUCCAUCCUUUAUGAGACGGAUAUACAUCAUGUUCUAGAUUAACUGUUCCAGAACCAGAAGCAUUUGUUGUCACAUCCUCUUCCCCUCCUAUAGUGCCAUCCAUAGUCGGACCAUCUUCUCUAAUCACCCCUAAUGCAUCAUGCACUAGAUCAUGCAUUGCCUGAACAUGACUAGGUCGCACGACAAUAUUGUCCAAAAGAGUUGCAGUAGUAUGAGAACCAAUAUUAUUUGAACUACUCGGAUUAGAAGAUGUUUGUGACUCCACCACCUCCCCAUGUAUGUACCAUCCUUUGUAGUGUCAUGGAAACGAUUUUCGUAACAAGUGGUCAAAAACAGUUUCCCUAUCAUAGAAGUUUUUGAACUUGCACUUAGAACAAGGACACAAAAUCACAAUUCCGCCUCGAUUGUGUGCAAAAGUAAAAUCUAUGAAUUUUUGUAAACCAUCAAGGUAUUGGGGGUUUGUGCGAAGCAAACUAAUCCAAGAUUUAUCCAUAUCUACCUAAGUGACAAAGAUAAUAUAUUAAUUAUAUUAGUAUAUAUAUCAUUUUAAACAAUUCAUAUAAAAAUCAAAGAAAUUUAUAAUAACACCUAAACACAAAAACAAGCUAGCUAGUUCAUAUACAUAUUCACAUUAUAUCUAUAUCCUACUUAUUCAAAUUUAUAAUUACUAGCUAGAGGGAUCAAAAUUCUUACCUUCUUUCGAUAACUCACCAACUUUAACUUCUUCAAUUAUAUCUACCUAAAUUAUAGAAUUUAACACCAUACAACAAAAGCCCCAAAUUAUGAAUUAGGGUCAUCCCACAAUUCUCAAAUCCUAAAAUGUAUGCAAUUGGACACCAAAAAUUUCAUAUUGAUGGUUAAAACACCAAAACUAUUUACCAUUCACCUAUAAACAUCUUAAAUUUCAUCAAUUUUAACUCAAUCAAUAAAAAAAUCUAAAAUUGUAAAAAUUAGGGUUUAGGGCAUUACUUACCUUAAAUCAAACAACAACUCGCCGGUAGGAGGUGAUGAGGUCGGAGCGGAUGAACCAGACGGUCGGAGAGACGCCGGCCGCCGCUGGUCGGCGACAGUGGCGUCGUUGUGAUGAGAGGGGAGGAGAGGAGAGGAGACGAAUGGAGAAGAAAAUAGAUGCUGUUGUUGUUCUGUCUAGCGUGAUGGGUUGCACUGUUAUUUAUAAGAGCAGCCUAACAGCAAAAUUCUAAUAGCGGCUUAAGUGGCCCCUAUUAGAGCGUUAAUGUUACAAAUUCUAAUAGCGACAACAAUAGUGGUCGUUGUUAAGUUUCCAUUGCUAGGGUAUUAUUUUUGGUAGUGUUGGCCGUUAAUUUUUACUUAAAAAACAUGUUGGGUUGACACCCAAGUUUGUGGUGGAUAUGAAAUCCUACAUAAGAGAGCAAGGAGACCGAAAAUAUAAAUUGAAAUUCCGUAACAAGAAAGACUUUGGUUAGUGAUAUCAAUUUCCAAAAUCCUCAUUAGGACAAACACAAUACAGUUAAUCGACUAAACUCACCCAAAGCCCCUUGGUCUAGUUGUCCUACUUGGUGAUAAGGUUGUUUGAUUUUUCACAUGUGAGUGUAGUGUAAGGAAAGUGAGUUAUAGACAUCAGUUUUCUACAUUCGUAAGCUCAUACAUAAUAGAUUUUUCAUCUAAAUUAAAAAUAUAUCCCUCCUAAAAAAUAUUUAAUAAAUCUUCAAGAAAUUCAUAACUAAUAAGUCUUGAAGAAAAUAAUUAUAAAAUCUUCAAGAAAUUCAUAGCUAAGAAAUCUUCAAAGAAAACAAGUUUUGUUUUAUUGUUAAUUGAUGGGUUAUUUGGUAUGGAUUUGUACUUUAAAUUGAAUUUGGACUAUGUUUUAUUAUAAUAUUUAUGAUUAGAUAAUAUAUGUGGCCAAUUAAAUUAUACAUUGAGACAAAAUUGGGAGAAUCACUAGGCCAAAUCAUUCGAACAUAUAAAGAUACAUAGUGUAUAAUAGCUUUGGACUCGGGAGUGGGUUGGGCCGAAGCCCGGGUAAUCCCACCCCUAGCUCCGCCUAUGUGGCCAACAACGCAAUCCUGAGAAGUUACAUAUUUUUGCGGUGUUCACGAUUUCAAUUAGCCAAAACUAGGAUGUUUAAUGAUUUUUUGUUCAUUUAAAUUAGUACGCCCAAAUAACAAACUGCCACAUAACAUUUAUACACUGUACAAAUAUGCACUGAAGUAUUUUCUUUAAUGAUCUUGUUGGAUUGUUUUUUCUUUUAUAGUUUUGCUUCUCAAGAGUGUUAUUGCUAUUUGUGGUUCAUGUUUUACUUUGCGCUGUUCAUUUUUAAUAUGAAUAGACAAAUAUACACCCUUACUUAAAAAAAUUACUAACGGAGUCCAUAUUUAUCGUGUGCAGUUCACUUUUAUUAACGCAAUCCGUUUUUACUUUGCGCAGUCUAUUUUACUAAGCCCGGACUAAACCCUCCCUACCCAAAAAACCUAACUAAACCUAUACUUCACAAUCUCUCAACAACUAUCUAUCUGUCCCAUCUGCGCCGAUCCUUAUUUCCACCAUUAUUUCAUCUUAAUUCUUUUUUUAACAGAAUCAAUAAUCCGACGCUGGACAACAUUUUGUCUCUUCCUCCACAUUAUAACUGGCAGCCAUCUAUUUAGAGUAGAAGUCAGAGCAUCCGCCUCUUCCUCCCCAUCACCUACAUCCUCCUCGGCGAAGAAGCUAGAGUGAAGAGUGCAUGAGAUGACGAGAUAUGGAGAAAUUGUUUCAUUAAGUGCUCUUCAAUCGAAGCGGUGAAGCAAGGGUGAAGGGAACCGAAAAAUCUUCUAGGUUCAGCAACCGCGAAGGGAGCAACAGUAGCGGCGUUCGGAGAUUAGAUGGAAAGUGACAAUAUUGACAUUGUUGUUAUUCUGUUUAGGUUUUGAUUUAGAUCUUGUAUUCAUUUCUAUGUACGAAUUGUGUUCGAUUUUUAUUAAUAUAAUUUUAAUUUGUUUUCGUUUAGAGAAUUCAAUUUGUAAUUACAUAAUAUUUUACUAAAACAAUUUCUAUAAAAUUAUAUUUUUAAUUAAGGAUAUAUUAAUCUGUUUAUAUUAAAUAUAGACUGCAUAGAAUAAAAUACGGACGGCAAAUAGCAACAAUACUAUUUGGUUUGGAACCUUGGAAGAGAAGAACUUAACCCAAAACGGCGACGUUCUGAUAAGUGCGAUAACAUCAUCGCCUUCCCUGACUUGUUACCAGUUGAGUUGAUCUAAUCAGUCCAUUUUUUGCCACGAUUCCAGCACGAGUUGAAGUCCCCGACCGCUUCCCAAUUCGAUUGCUGGACGAGACCCCCCUGCUGCUAUAGCCAGCGAUUCGCGUUUCUAGGUAACAAGAUCUUGCCCUUCAAAGCCCUUCCAUAUCAUCUUCUGUUGGUAAUCCAGAUUAAAAGAAUGGCUUCCGUUUCCACUGAAUGGUGAAGCUAGUGACAAAAAAAAACUGAAAUGAUAACGCUAGCUAUUAUUAUUCUGUUCUCGUAUUUGAUAUUUCUAGCUUUCUUCCGACUCCAGUAGACUAGUGUAGGAAGUUGAUCGGGAGACCUGAGUUAAACCGCCAUUUAUUGUUUCAGCAGCCAUUACAAUAAGAAAGUCCAAUUUCAGAGACUAUGCGGUGGAUUCAGAGGCGCGGUUGGAUUGAUCUGGACUUCGCCAAGUGACCGAUCGUUCAUUCCCGUCAGUCAGUCGGUUCUCAUUUGAUUGGAGUUAGGGUUUCAUUUGUCAUUGGACAAUUCUACGGAGCUCCUUUUACGACAUGGACCAACACGGGUUUCACGACGGCAAUUUCUACAAUUUGCUGGAGAGCAGAUGCUUGGACGUUCGACAUGUAAUGUUUUUUACUCUUUCAUUCUUGCUUCCCCUUUUACUUAAAAUCUUUUCUUUUCCCUUCAUGUUGAAACUUUUGACUAAUUCGAUUAUGCUCUCCACACCUUCGUAUGGUAGUUUUUUGGUUGUCUAUGAUGUAGUUGCAAAACUGAAGCUAAUAUUCCAACUGCUAGUAGGAAGAAAUGUUGCCAUCAUGAUAAGCAAGAAUUGUAUUGGAAACUAUGGUACACAUCAUGUAGGCUUGUUGUGGUGGUGUGGAUUACCAGUCAGUGGAUGAGGAAUUAAGAAGCUCCUUAACGCUGUUGUUCCUUUAUCACUUAUAUCUGCAAUAGUUUUUUUCAUGCACUGCAUUUUCACAACUGAAGUGAUCAAGUACUAUAUUAGCAAUGGCGUUUGGUGAUGUCUAUGAUAUAUUCAUUUAUGAUGGAUAACUGUAAUGUUCCUUUUCAUUCAGGACAUUGUUGGCAACUUUCAGAUGCAUUCAUCAUUGAUGCGGAGGCUCUCGCAAGAGAAGGAAAUGGAAGUAAGCACUAUAGCUUUUAAUGUUGCAUGUAUUCCAUCCACUAGGUUCCUUGAAGCAUAUGAUAGAUUUGAAGGUUGUUCAUAGAGGGGAAGGAGCCAUUUCUUUUCAAUACAGUUAUGGCAUCCGUUAACUUAUAUGAUAUUCGCAUCUUGAUUGAUUGGUUUGACAAACUUCCAGUUCAGCAUUAUUUAUUUCUCGUGUGGUUUGAUAUUUCUCUGCUAAUAUUGCUUUUCAUAAUCAUCCUGUUUAUCUACCAGGGGCAUCAGGGUUGCGUCAAUGCUAUAGCUUGGAAUUCGAAUGGUUCCCUCUUGAUUUCUGGGUCAGAUGAUACCAGGGUAUGGUUGUUUUAUGUGCGCUAAAGAUGCAUGAUUGUAUGUCGAUUGAGGGGUUUCUUGAAUUUUGAUCCUGUUUUUCUGAGUUUGGAAUUUGAGAUUUAAGCUCUCCAAGUUUCUGCAGUUUGGAUACAUAAGAGGUAUGGCCAACUUUGGUUUAGUGUCAAAUGUCCAUAGUAAGGGUGUUGAUGCUGCUUGGAAUGCUAUACUAGUUCCAUCUUUCUGGCUUCUGUCGCAAUUACGCUUUUCUGAUAUUAGUGAAUAAUGUAUUAAGAUAUAAAAUUUAGUUCGGGUGAGCUUUCAUCAGGAUUGUUUGGUUGAAAUGAUGAUGAAGGUCGAAGCAAAACAUAUGAUUGGAGAUCCGCAAGUUGAGGGUGUACUAUAGAAUCAAAAGACGUACUAUUUAGUCAAGUCCUUGGUACUUAAUCAAUUAGUAAAGUAUACUCAAACUGGAUUAGGCUUAUAUGGCAAACAUUUGAUGCUUUAUUGUGGGAGGAGUUGGGUUAUUUUCUUGGAGUUGAAGUAGAAGAUCUGUGAUAACAAGAGAUCUGACGAAUGCUACACAUCCUCCCGUCUUUAUUCUGGUGGAAUGCUGGAGGUUUCUUGAGACUGACAAAGCACAUUAGUUUUGUGUUUAACUAGCUUAUUCUCUAAUUUGCAAGCCCCCACGGCUCACAUUUUCAGCUUCAACUUUCUUAAUAGCAUUUCCAUUCGGUGCAGAUUAAUAUAUGGAACUAUGCUGGUCGAAGGCUGCUACAUUCAAUUGAUACUGGGCAUUCGGCAAACAUAUUCUGUACCAAAUUUGUUCCUGAAACCUCAGAUGAGCUUGUAGUUUCAGGAGCAGGAGAUGCAGAAGUAUUAUUCUGGUGAAAUGGAACUUUGGAUUGAUGUUUGUGCUGGUUGACAGUUUGUGAAAUGUUGACAGGUUUUUUCUUCCCUUUCUCCAGGUUAGGGUAUUCAAUUUGUCUCGAUUAAGCGGAAGAGGUCCUGAGGAUACUAGCAUUGUUCCUUCUGCACUCUACCAAUGUCACUCUAGAAGAGUAAAGAAAUUAGCUGUAAGAACUUAUAAUGCUGAUGAUUAAGUAGUCUAAUGUUACUAUGGAUUACCAGGACUACGAGUUAUUCUAAAGACCUUUAGCAGUAAAAAUGCGUCCUUGCUUUCAUUGUCCAAGUUACACUUGCAUCUGCAGAUUGAAGUUGGAAAUCCGAAUGUGGUAUGGAGUGCCAGUGAAGAUGGAACUUUGAGACAGCAUGACCUUAGGGAGUGUGCUUCUUGUCCACCAGCAGGAUCUUCUCCUCAAGAAUGCCGCAAUAUUUUGGUGAGUUUUGGCUGAUGCAACUUUGACAUACCAUACGAGUUAGUAGACAGAUUCCAUGUUGACAAAUUCACUUUUUAUGUGAGAAUCGUAACUAUAUGUUGGCUGUUGACGGAUGUGUCUUUUUCUUCAGUGCUCCCCAAUUAUACUUUUCGGAUGCGUUUUUGUACAUGCUUUAUGUUUUUUUGGUGAGUUUUUUGUCAUGACAAAUCACAAGGUACUCUUACUUCAGAAGAUUUAUCUUCAUGUUUUUUCUGAUCUGGAUUUAUGUUUUUAAGCUUAAAGUCUUCAGUAUGCUUUUAAGUCAUAACUGCAUCAAUUACUGCUCUUUUCUUAUUAUGUGUGAUGAAGAUGCUGUAUUUGACAUUGGUUUAUUUGUGGACAAACAAUUUUGGAGAUUAAUUACCUCUAGCUGGAUGUAUUUUAUGCCAGGACCUCUUUUUAAACAUCCGGGACAUUUUUCACUGUAAAACGCGAACGAAAAGUUAGCAGUCAUGGUUGUCCAAGUUACAUGCCUCACAAAGUUAUACCGGAUGUUACUUCAGUUUUUUUGCAACCAUAAGCAUGUUAUUUGGGGAAAUUGAAUCUAGGAAAUUCCCUAAUGAAGUGUUCGGUGAGAAGUUGACUAUGGAAGUAAUCAAGUAAGGAAUUUGAUAUGUGGGCUGAAAAAGUUGCAAAACAAGUUAUCAACCCUUUAAAUGUAAAUAAAUUAUUUGAUAUGUGGGUGAGGAAUAGUGACCGAUGACCCAUUUUUUCCACCUUUUUGUCAGGAAAAGAGGUAGUAUAAAAAAGAAAAAAGAAAAAAGUUAAAAUGAUAAAAGAAUUGUGGUUCCAAAGUUGGACUUCGAAGGACUGAUUUUUGUAGUUGGAAGAAUGAGUCAGUUGGUUAUUCAAUUUUUUAUACUGCAAAUGUUCAUUUGUAUUUCUAUUAGUUGAUAGGAUAGCGAUCUGAUCUCAGGACUUCUAAAUCUACUCGUUUUGAUGCAGCUAAAGAACAAAAUCUUGAUCUCAAUUAGAAUUAAGUUUAUUUUAUUCCAAUGGGGUAGAAUUUGAUUUAUUGUUAUUUUGGUACCAGGAGUAUCAUAUAAUUUCUGUUUUGGAAUAAGCCUAAAUUAGGUUUCUGUUUAUUGUUAAGAUAAAUAUGACUUUCUGAGGAAAUCCCGUUCCUUAUGUGUAUACAGUCAGAUCUUAUUAGUUUAUUUGCUAGUUAGAUAGUUACCAUAUUAGUUCUAGUCCUAUCCUAGUUUAGCUAGCAGAUCCUAUUAAAUAGUUAGAGUAGAUAUUUUCUUACCUAGUCAGUAGGAGGAAUGCUGUAUAUAAUAAACCUACGAGACAUGAAUAAAAGUAAUUCAUUCUCUCAAUCUUCAUGGUAUCAGAGCCUACUCUGUACCUGACCUAAAACAAUUCCGCUGCAAUCCUAAGCCAUGGUGACAGACGGAGCUUCAAACGGAUCCGAUACUGCUGGAGAGAUCGCGAACUCCGUGGCACCAGCAGCGACGACGGAUUACUCAAGCUUCCUCACCACACACAGGCUGGAUGGCAAAAAUUAUCUCAAGUGGUCUAAGACCGUAGAGAUGCAUAUCACAGGAAGAGGAAAAGGAGGAUAUCUCACUGGAAAAAUCAAAGCUCCAGACGAGACAGAUCCAAAAUUCCAAACCUGGAAUGAGCAUGACAGUUUGGUCCGUACCUGGCUGAUCAACUCCAUGAAGCCAAACAUCGGGGAGAAUUAUAUCCUUCACCCGACUGCCAAGGCCAUCUGGGAUGCUGCCAGAAAUACAUACUCAACAAUUGACAACUCGUCUGCCAUGUUCAAGAUCGAACAACAGCUGUUCCAUCUUCAGCAAGGAGAUAUGGACGUCACAGAGUACUACAAUACUCUUGGACAUCACUGGCUACACCUGGAUACGUAUGAUGCACAGGAAUGGGAUACCCCUGAAGAUCAGCUACGAUUCAGGAUGUAUAUUGAGAAGAAAAGAACCCUGUCUUUUCUUCUAGGGUUAAACCAGGAUCUGGACAGCAUAAAGAGCCAAAUCAUGAGUACCAAGCCCUUCCCUAGUCUCACGGAAGCGUUUGCUGCCAUAUUUGGGGAAGAACAUCGAAGAGAUCUCAUGGUUGUUCCAGCGAAAACUCCUCCUACCCCUCAAGUUGAAAGUUCAGCCCUUGCUGUGCGCAAUCAAUACCGCAACAACAAGCAGGUGCAGAACUCAACAAAAGGAGAAGAGGAAGAAGACAACUACUGUGCCCACUGCCGUAGNNNNNNNNNNNNNNNNNNNNNNNNNNNNNNNNNNNNNNNNNNNNNNNNNNNNNNNNNNNNNNNNNNNNNNNNNNNNNNNNNNNNNNNNNNNNNNNNNNNNNNNNNNNNNNNNNNNNNNNNNNNNNNNNNNNNNNNNNNNNNNNNNNNNNNNNNNNNNNNNNNNNNNNNNNNNNNNNNNNNNNNNNNNNNNNNNNNNNNNNNNNNNNNNNNNNNNNNNNNNNNNNNNNNNNNNNNNNNNNNNNNNNNNNNNNNNNNNNNNNNNNNNNNNNNNNNNNNNNNNNNNNNNNNNNNNNNNNNNNNNNNNNNNNNNNNNNNNNNNNNNNNNNNNNNNNNNNNNNNNNNNNNNNNNNNNNNNNNNNNNNNNNNNNNNNNNNNNNNNNNNNNNNNNNNNNNNNNNNNNNNNNNNNNNNNNNNNNNNNNNNNNNNNNNNNNNNNNNNNNNNNNNNNNNNNNNNNNNNNNNNNNNNNNNNNNNNNNNNNNNNNNNNNNNNNNNNNNNNNNNNNNNNNNNNNNNNNNNNNNNNNNNNNNNNNNNNNNNNNNNNNNNNNNNNNNNNNNNNNNNNNNNNNNNNNNNNNNNNNNNNNNNNNNNNNNNNNNNNNNNNNNNNNNNNNNNNNNNNNNNNNNNNNNNNNNNNNNNNNNNNNNNNNNNNNNNNNNNNNNNNNNNNNNNNNNNNNNNNNNNNNNNNNNNNNNNNNNNNNNNNNNNNNNNNNNNNNNNNNNNNNNNNNNNNNNNNNNNNNNNNNNNNNNNNNNNNNNNNNNNNNNNNNNNNNNNNNNNNNNNNNNNNNNNNNNNNNNNNNNNNNNNNNNNNNNNNNNNNNNNNNNNNNNNNNNNNNNNNNNNNNNNNNNNNNNNNNNNNNNNNNNNNNNNNNNNNNNNNNNNNNNNNNNNNNNNNNNNNNNNNNNNNNNNNNNNNNNNNNNNNNNNNNNNNNNNNNNNNNNNNNNNNNNNNNNNNNNNNNNNNNNNNNNNNNNNNNNNNNNNNNNNNNNNNNNNNNNNNNNNNNNNNNNNNNNNNNNNNNNNNNNNNNNNNNNNNNNNNNNNNNNNNNNNNNNNNNNNNNNNNNNNNNNNNNNNNNNNNNNNNNNNNNNNNNNNNNNNNNNNNNNNNNNNNNNNNNNNNNNNNNNNNNNNNNNNNNNNNNNNNNNNNNNNNNNNNNNNNNNNNNNNNNNNNNNNNNNNNNNNNNNNNNNNNNNNNNNNNNNNNNNNNNNNNNNNNNNNNNNNNNNNNNNNNNNNNNNNNNNNNNNNNNNNNNNNNNNNNNNNNNNNNNNNNNNNNNNNNNNNNNNNNNNNNNNNNNNNNNNNNNNNNNNNNNNNNNNNNNNNNNNNNNNNNNNNNNNNNNNNNNNNNNNNNNNNNNNNNNNNNNNNNNNNNNNNNNNNNNNNNNNNNNNNNNNNNNNNNNNNNNNNNNNNNNNNNNNNNNNNNNNNNNNNNNNNNNNNNNNNNNNNNNNNNNNNNNNNNNNNNNNNNNNNNNNNNNNNNNNNNNNNNNNNNNNNNNNNNNNNNNNNNNNNNNNNNNNNNNNNNNNNNNNNNNNNNNNNNNNNNNNNNNNNNNNNNNNNNNNNNNNNNNNNNNNNNNNNNNNNNNNNNNNNNNNNNNNNNNNNNNNNNNNNNNAUCUGGAAAAUUUAAUUGCUUUGGAUCGACCAACUAUGCCUCGCAUCUCUACGGGUAGUGAACCAGAACCAGAACCUGCUCCAGAGACGAGCAGACCACCAAUUCAACAUGUUUACCAGCGGAGACAGAGGCUCGGGCCUUAUAUAGAGCCUGAACCAGAAACUGGAAGAAACAGUGAAGGGAUGGACACUCAUAGUGAAUCUGAGAGUGCUGAUAUCGCUGAAGAAGAAGUGCAACAGGAAACCCUAUUCAGUGAGCCUAUUGCAUUGAGAAAGGGUGUGCGAGAAUGCACUCGUCAUCCGAUACAACGGUACGUUCACUAUGGCCGCCUAAGCCCUGAAUUUAGGGCGUUUACUGUACACUUGGAUACCAAACCUCGCAACAUAGAGGAGGCCAUGAGAAUACCUGAGUGGAGACAGGCAGUUUUGGAAGAGAUAAGGGCGUUACAAAGCAAUGAAACCUGGAGGAUUGUUGACCUACCACCAGGAAAACAAACAGUAGACUACAAAUGGCUGUUUACAAUAAAGUACAGGGCAGAUGGCAGUGUGGAGAGACACAAGGCUAGGCUCGUAGCACGAGGAUUUACACAAACAUAUGGGAUUGACUACCAGGAAACGUUUGCCCCGGUAGCAAAACUCAACACCGUUCGGAUUCUACUGUCAGUGGCAGUAAAUGAAGACUGGCCCCUAUAUCAAAUGGACGUCAAAAAUGCAUUCCUAAAUGGAGCAUUAACAGAGGAAGUUUAUAUGGAAAUUCCAGAAGGGGUGCCGGUGCCUCAUCUUAAAACCGGCAGAAAGGUGUGCAAGCUGGAGAAGUCCCUGUACGGACUAAAACAGUCUCCUAGAGCUUGGUUUGGAAAAUUUUCAGCAACUAUAACAUCUAAUGGCUACCAUCAGUGUCAAACAGAUGACACAAUGUUCGUGAAGCAUGGAGCUGGGAACAAGAUAGCCAUCUUGAUUGUCUACGUUGAUGACAUUAUAAUUACGGGAAAUGACAAUGAGGAGAUCUCAAGGUUGAAGAUCAAACUGGGAACUGAGUUUGAGCUGAAAGAUCUGGGAGAAAUGAAAUAUUUUCUCGGAAUGGAGGUGGCCAGAUCGAGCAAAGGACUUUCUAUAUCCCAGAGAAAGUAUAUCCUAGAUUUGCUAGAGGAAACCGGUAUGACAGGGUGCAAACCGGCAGAUACCCCAAUGCAGUCAAACAUGAAGUUCAGUGUAGAAGAAAACGGGGAAAAAGCAGACAAGGGAAGAUACCAACAGCUGGUAGGAAAGCUGAUAUACCUGGCACACACGCGACCCGACAUAGCUUUUGCUGUGAGUGUGGUUAGCCAGUUCAUGAAUGAACCAAAGAGUGAGCACAUGGAUGCUGUAAACUAUAUUCUUAGAUACCUAAAGAAAACCCCAGGAUUGGGGCUGAUGUUCAAGAAGAAUGAGAGCAGGUCAGUGGAAAUAUACACUGAUGCAAGCUGGGCCAGUGAAAUUACAACGAGGAGAUCGACCACAGGUUACUGCUCUUAUGUAUGGGGAAAUUUAGUAACGUGGAGAAGUAAGAAGCAAUCAGUGGUUGCACGAAGCAGUGCAGAAGCAGAAUACCGAGCACUUGCUCUCGGGAUUCAGGAAGUUAUGUGGAUACAGCGAGUUCUAAAGGAACUAGAGUUACCAGGACACGGGAGAGCUACACUAUACAGCGAUAGCCAGUCAGCCUUAAGCAUUGUUAAGAACCCUGUACAUCACGACAGGACUAAACAUGUCGAGAUAGACAGGCAUUUUAUCACUGAGAAGGUGGAAAGGGGAGUUGUGGAUGUGAGAUAUGUCCAGUCCAAACAGCAGACCGCUGACAUACUCACAAAGGCACUUCCACGAGAACAGUCAGAUCAUUUCAAGUCCAAGCUGGGUUUGUACAACAUCUACACCAAGCUUGAAGGGGAGUGAGGAAAUCCCGUUCCUUAUGUGUAUACAGUCAGAUCUUAUUAGUUUAUUUGCUAGUUAGAUAGUUACCAUAUUAGUUCUAGUCCUAUCCUAGUUUAGCUAGCAGAUCCUAUUAAAUAGUUAGAGUAGAUAUUUUCUUACCUAGUCAGUAGGAGGAAUGCUGUAUAUAAUAAACCUACGAGACAUGAAUAAAAGUAAUUCAUUCUCUCAAUCUUCACUUUCUUUAGAAUGUAAUUUCGGAUUAGGAAAGUACUCUCCAUUAAAUUAUAUGCAUAAAAGUUGUUAUUGUUCACAUCUUGCUCAUGGUGGCAGCUUGACUUGCGGUGUGGAGCUAAGAGAUCCCUGGCUGACCCGCCCAAACAAAUUCUUGCUCUGAAGUCUUGUGAUAUAAGCACCACUCGUCCUCAUUUGCUACUUGUUGGUGGGAGGUAGUUGAGUCAUUCUGGUACUGGAGGUUUUUUUCCCUUUUACUUGACUAUUCUUUCACUAAUGUGUGUUAUCCAAAACGUUUGCAGUGAUGCUUUUGCCCGUUUAUAUGAUAGAAGGAUGUUGCCUCCUUUGACUUCUUGUCAAAAAAGGAGGCCAGCACCUCUUUGUGUCAACUAUUUCUGUCCAAUGCAUCUCUCUGAUCGGGUAAGUUUCAUACAUAAGGUCUAACUAUGAUCAAAGCUAACUUUAUUCUGUAUGUCAGGCUCCAUAACUAUAUGCCCUCUUUGCUGUUUCUUAUUAUAGAUAUGAUCCUUUGUAGUUUACUACAGUGUAUUAUGGUAAUGUGUCAAAAUAUGAGGUAAUAAUCUUCUUGUUCUUAUUGAUCUUGAAUGAUAACCAGCUCUAUUUAUAAUAGAGCUGUACAACUAGGGUUAGAGUCCAAGUCCUUGUAGGAAAAGACUACUAGAGUCCAAAUCCUUAUAGGAAAAGACUACUACCCUUAAUAGAAUAAUACUAACUUCCUAUGCAAGAAAGGAAUGUCCUUAUUGGACUCUAUUACUAUAUCUAUAGGUAAUAACUUCCUAAUCAAGACAUGUUAGAAAAGGAACAAAUAAUAAUAAUAACUAUUCUGCCGUAUCUCAACACUCCCCCUCAAGCUUGGUGUAGGCAUUGUAUAAAUCAAGCUUGCCCCUUAGAUACUGAAACACUUCUCGAGAGGUAGCCUUUGUGAGUAUGUCUGCUGUCUGCUCUGCGGAGGGAACAUACACGACUUCAAUAACAGCACUUGCUGCCUUCUCUGAGAUGAACUGUCUGUCUACUUCCACAUGUUUAGUCCGACCGUGAUGCAGAUGAUUCUUGACAAUACUCAUAGCUGACUGACUGUCAGUUCUCAUGAGAAUUGGACCCCUUGAUUCAACUUGUAGUUCCUCAACAUAGUGCCAAAACUUUAAUAUUAUAGUUUGAAUCUUCUUGUCUCAUUCUUGAUCAAAAUGAUAGUUGUGAUUAAAAAUUUGGCCAGUUAAGCGAGCUAAGAGUUCAAACUGUUAUUUCACUUUUCAGGGACGCUCGAGCCUGAAUCUAACGCAUGUUACAUUCAGUCCAAGUGGAGAUGAGGUUCUUGUCAGUUAUAGCGGAGAGCAUGUUUACUUAAUGAAUGUAAAUGACGGUAUGCUUCUUUAUUAUUUUGAUGGCAUGUUGCAAUUAGUAGUUUUGUGACACUAAACUUUGUGCAAGUGUUUCAAAAGCUCGAUUUCUUGAAAACGUUACUUAAGUUAAAUAACUGUUCACGACUUGGUUUUCGAAGUCUUUGGUUAACUUGAGAUACUAUGUAUCGCUGGGAGUUGGCAGAUGGUUAGUCGAUUGCUGGGACUCAUAUCUGAAUAUUUUCUUUGUUCUUUUUUUCCCCGAUGAAUUCUUGGUAGUUUCAUCAUUUUGAGAUUUUUUGUGAGUUCAACCUAAGCUCAACCUAAUUCAGUAAUUUUUGGGACAGCUGGUGGUAGCCCCAUGCAGUAUACAGCAGGAGAUGCUACCAAAUUAAUGACCUUUACUCCUGUGCUGAAUGGUCUGGAAUUACAAUCGAUAACUUCUGUAGUCUCAAAGAGAAGUGAUCGAAUCAAGAUCAAUGUUUCACCAAUGGUGCACUGUUCUUUUCCUGUGAUUAUUUUUAGAAUACUUGAUGAGAUUAAGCAGCCUGGUCUGUGUCUCGUCCUGAAUUAACCACCCUAACCUGAAUUAACCACCCUAAUGUCAUUACAGAUUGGUAAGUGUGAGAAGCUGGUUGAUGUUGCUGAAAAGUGUUUGAAAGAUGGGAGAUAUUACGAAGGAAUUGAGGCAUGCAAUGACAUAUUGCAUGGCCAUGGUCGUAAUAUUAGUCUACAACUGCUGAUGGAUUGUCUUUGCACGCGUGCAGCCUUAUUGCUGAAGGUUUUCUCAAGCUUCCUGUUGGAUUACUAGGUUGCUUUGUUUAUUUCCAUAUGUAUAUCUUAUGAAAGCUACAAUUUUUCACAAUUACAGCGGAAAUGGAACAAUGAUGUAUACAUGGCUAUAAGAGACUGCUAUGUUGCUCGUAGAAUUGAGAGCUCAUCUUUUAAAGCUCUCUACUAUAUGUCUGAAGCUCUUUCACAGGUUGGGUUUCUGUGUGAACAAUUAAAUAAUUGUGCUUGCUUCCCUGUUACUAAUUUUACAGUCAACAUGUUGGUUCGUCUGAAUACACCCCCAACAAAUAGCCUUGGGUAGGUUUCUCGCUUUUUCACUGACCAUACAAGUACAGUCUUAGACUGGAAAACUUGCCACCUUCUUAGAUUUAUAGUCUCAUCUAUGUGUAUGCCAUGCCUUCAGAAUAGGUCUACAUAUCUUCUUUGAACAUGGUGUACUGCGUACUAUGUAGUGUCAAAGCUGUGAGAAUAAUCCUCCAUGAUUAUUAUUGAUAGACUAACUGUCCUCAUAUAUAGGCUUACAGAGAGAUACCUACUAUAUCUAGGUGAUCGUUACGUCUUUAAGAACAUAUAUCUUAGCCCUAUAACUAGCAUAAUACGCUAGGAUAAAUAAGCAUGGGUUUGGCGAACCAGGCCUCUGAUAUAGUGUCAAAGUUGUGAGAAUAAUUUUUCGUCCAUGAUUAACUUCUUAUGUACACGUUUAUAGAGAGGGGCCUGUCAUAUGUAGGAGAUUAGUUCCUUUCUUAAGAGAAUCUUGAACUAGCAUAAUAAACUAGGAUAGAUAAGCUAGCUGCUAUACCUUAGGAAGUAGAAUAACCAGUUAUAAUUGAGGGUAUUGUGAUAUUAUUCUGAUUUCUCAAAUGUACAGGUGGGUUUUUGUUUUUUGAUAUUCUGUUUUACUGGAGAUGCAUCAUGCACUGCAUACUGGGUAGAUAUUAUUUUCCCGGUGAUCUUCUAUCUUUAGGAAAUAUCUGUAGUUUGGUCUGGGAUCAUGUGGACAUUGACUAACGAUAUCAUCUGGAACUUCAUUUGAAACUAUAGAUUUUAUAUUUGUUAAUAGUGCUGUUGUUAAUUUUUGUUCUCAUAAUUCACUGGUGGCAGUUGGGGAGACAUAAGCAAGCUCUGGACUUUGCUGUUGCUGCUCAAAGUUUGGCCCCAGCUAAUAAUGAAGUGGCAGAGUGGGUGGAGAGUAUGAAGAAAAAUAUUGCUGCAGGUGUGUGAUUUGCAAUUUCCAGUACCUUCUAUAAAAAAAUUUGUGCUUAUUUGACCAUUUCAUAACCAUUUUCAUUUUCCAUUUGGCUAUCCCUGUCACAUGUUUCUUUGUUGACCAGGAAAGGCUGUAGUGAGCUCCUUGUGUGCCUUUUCAUUUCAUAACCUGUUGUUACAACUGAACAUUUUAUGAAAUUGAAUUCCAAGGCUGAUAUGGAACUGAAAAUUCUUAAAAUGUUUUGUUACGGGACACUAUUAACCAGAAAGGGGAGGGCGGUGGAUUCAAACGGGUUAGACAUCAGCACCAACACAAACUUGCAGUUAUGUGGGUUACAUAAUCAUUUCACAUAAUUAUGUUUAUCAUGCAAGUUGUUUGGUAUUGGUUGUCCAAUUUUCUAGUGAAUAGUGAUGCUUGUAAAUCCGUCUUUUUACUCGUCGUGAUACCUUCUCUUAAAAAAGUCUUAACGAACUGCUAAAACGUUGCAAGUGACAGAUGUUGUAUCGAAUCAUCAGAUAAAGAGAUCUAGACUUCUUAAAAUUGAUUUUGUAGUGGUAUGUGCAUAUCUUUUGUUUUUUCUCCUUCCACAAGCUUUCAAAAAGCUUGUUUGUUUGGAGUGACUACCUAGCUGGUGUAUUAGGUUGUUCUCUUGGUAAGGUAGGGUCUCCUAUGAUCCAAGCUUUUCCCUUCAUGCUCUCCUCUUUAAGCUUUUGAAUAUUUUGAAACUUGAUCUCUGUUAAGUUAAGUGAUCUUCUUGUAUGUUACUUAUCAACGGGACGAAUUCCAGCUGUGUUGUUCUACACCUGUCACUUCCAUGUUUUUCUCAUAUUAUUCACUCUUAGGCCCUUUUGUCAUUGAAACUUGUAAGUUUCAAUUUAGUGUUGGCGUAGCUGUUACACAGGAUAUUCUUCAGUGACGCAUGCACAAUAAUAUAGGGUACAUUUUCAUUUUGUACUUGUGCAUGGCUAGCAGAGGCUGAAGGUAAGACACCUGAUGGUGCACCAAGGUCUGGAUCUCGAAGUGGAAAAGCCUUGUCAUUAAGUGAAUUACUUUACCGAUCUGAGGGUAAUAAUGAUGUUUCCCAAGAUGGACCCAUGCCUGAUAGAGAAGAUUCUGACUAUGACGAGGAGUUAGAAUUGGAUUUUGAAACUUCAUUAUCUGGUGAUGAAGAACGUGAAAUUGAGCCCAAUACUCUUCAUGGAAGCUUAAAUCUGAGAAUACACCGGAGAGGUGAUUCAAGAGAAACAAGCUUUACAAAUGGAUCUUGUGGCUCGCCUUCUUCACAAAAUGACCGGGCACCAUAUCAGGUGAUUUUCUACGUUGUGUGAUUUUGAAAAUGUAUUUUUUAUCUUGUUUAUAAAGUUUGUCAUUCUAAAUGGAGUUCAAAAUAAUUUCUUAUAAAAACUCUGAAACAAUUGAUCAUUGACUGUUCUAUCAUUCCACUUAUCAACUGAAUGGCACGGAUAUAUCAUGUUCUUGUUUUAAACAGGGUUUAAAAUGACACUGAAAUUGAUUCACUUUACGUAUAUUGUUUAAUGGACAUUUGCAACUUCGACGAUGUAAAGUGGCCUCAGAAGAUUACAGAAUGUACUGGACUCUCCCUGGUUCUUCAAUGGCCUCCAGAUUGUGUAUGAAGUGUGCUUCUGAAACGAUAUGAAACAAAGCCUUUUGAAAGCCAUCCUUAUACAUGGUUUCGGCGAUUAAAUUGCACAUGACACAACCUUCAUUCAUGUUGGUUAUGCAGCCAGAGCCAGCUGUUGACAUGAAGCAGAGAUUUAUUGGACAUUGCAAUGUUGGGACAGACAUAAAGCAGGCCAGUUUCCUGGGGCAAAGAGGUAUCCUUUUCCAACGAUUGCUUUUCUAACACCUUGUGAAAACCCUGAUUUUGUGUGUUUACAUUGCUGCAUGCCUUCCUUACCUGAUUCAAAAUUUGAAAGAAUGGUGAAAAAACCAACACUGUCAAGAGUCAACGUUCACAUAUUAGCUUUAUUGUAAGAUUAGUCUCAAAAUUAGGAAGCUUUGGUGUAGUAAGGAGUUGUGGGAUACACUUAAUAUUUGGGCUCUUAAAUUGACAGAUUAGACACUCGCAUUGUCUUCUAAAUAUGUACGAACGAACCUUGACAAGUCUCAAGGAGAUGAACUACAGUUUAUGUGAUUUACUCUUACGUUUGGAUCUGGAAGUCUUUAUUAUAGUCUAAUAGGCUGUCUACCUAGUCACUUAUUGGAAAUAUUAGUUACUCCUCGUCGGUCACUACCCGUGUCUGUCUGUUACUCACAGUUUUGGUUUACUGCAACUCCGUCUUUCUAAUAUCUUUUGUGUAAAGCUGACUAUGUUGCUAGUGGAAGUGAUGAUGGUCGGUGGUUUAUCUGGGAAAAGAGAACCGGUAGAUUGAUAAAAAUGCUUCAAGGAGAUGAAGCAGGUAAUGUUUAACUAUUUCUAGUGGUGAUUGUUAUUUUAUGAUCUCUGCUUUGUCUUCCUGAGAAUAUUUUUCCUUUGCAGUUGUGAACUGUGUGCAGUCCCAUCCGUUUGACUGUGUAGUAGCAACCAGUGGGAUUGAUAACACCAUAAAGGUUGGUAUGCUUCGGGGUUGUUCUUUUUAAAGGAGGUUAAUUGAAUUGUUUCGUUAUUGUCGGAUAAAAUGGUUGUAGAUUUGGACUCCAAGUGCUUCAGUGCCAUCAAUUUUUGCUGGGGGAGCAGCAGGACCUGAAAAAUCUUAUGUGCUCGAAGCAAUGGAGAGCAACCAACGCGGACUGUGCAACAAUCGUGAAGUUAUCCUGUAAGUUAGUGAGAUCCUGAGGGAAGGAAAUUGUAUAAAGGGAUCUCAAUCGGAUCAUCCAUCCAUCUUAAUAUCUUACAUUCCUCAAACCGAGUAGUGAAUUGUAGCGCGCACACACACACACUCUCUCUCUUUAACCAAGCUUUUGCUGACAAGGAGUGUUGGUAUUGGUGGUGCAGGCCAUUUGAACUGUUGGAGCGCUUUAGAAUGCACGACUUCACUGAAGGAACUCUUCUUCCGUUCGAGUGUGCUCAGAGUUAGCCUCUUUGGGGGUUGGCGGAAGAGAAGAGAAGUAGAUAAGUUAGCUAUAAUAGAGAUGUAUAAAAGCAAUAAUAGAGAUGUAUAAAAGCAAUAAUAAUAAGUUGGAGGUAUAUGCUUUCGAUUUCCACCCUUCCCGCAGUGUGUUGUACAGAAGAUUUGAGGAAGGAUUUCCAGCUGUCUGCUUGAUGCAUAUGACCGAACAACCAAAAGUAAACAUAUAAAUAUGGUGAUGCCACUGUUCGUAAUUCGAGUAUUUUCGUUACUUAGCAUUGAAUGUCAAUGUGACGAGACCUAUUGACUGUAAUUAGAUUAUAUUGCGUGCCUUCAGCCAAUUGUGAGUCACUUCCAAUUCAGCGGUCGUCUUGGAUAUUGGGGACACUUUAACGUGGAUCCCUGAUGUAACAACAGGGUUAUAUUAUAUGUUGUCACAUGACAACAUCAAUAUCAAUCAUCAAUUCUAGGUAGGCUUGACAAUAUUGUUAUUCGAAUUCAGUUGAAUUCCAACUCUGGAAAAAUUGUUAUCGAUUUCGGUUUUGAAAUUCAAUUCUGUUCGUCGUCUUUGAAUUCAAUUUGAUAUCGGUUAGUUGCCCUAGUCGAAAAUCUGACCAACUUCGAUUGCUCGGACUUCAAAUGCAGACUUCAUUUGGUUCGUUCUGUCUCUUCCGGCAACCCACGAGAGAUACAAAGAACUGAAGAAAAAAAAGAUGAACGAAAGAGCAUAUCUUAAAAUUGCAAAAGAAGAUGAAGAAGAAAGAAUCAAAUGAACUGAUUUUCGGAAAUAGUAGUAUUGCAGAAGAAAAAGAAAUAAAUCUGAAACAUAGAAGAAGGAGGAGGAGGGAACUUGAGAUCUCCAAAUAGCGGUGACUAGUGCAGAUCUGGAACUGAUUCAGGAACAUAUAAAAGAAAAAGGAAGUUGGAGAGGGAGCGAGAUGAGAAUCAUGAAAAUAUCGAGGAAAGAUUGGAAGGAAACAAUUGGGAAAAGAAUCAAAGAACCAGGAAGGAAAGGUUAGAAUUUGGGGAUAGUGGCCUUAUGCCCUUUAACGAAUUCGAAGGGGAAGGGGGUUAAAAUUCGGUUAUAAAUUGAAUUGGCUGAGUUCGAAUUCAAGAAAUUUCAUGUCUCGAUUUCAAAUUUGAAUUAAACUCUUAAUUUGGUAAUCGGUGAGUUGAAUUCGGUUAAAAUCAGAGUUGAAUUAUGUACCAGAGAGAUGACGGUGGUACUGAGUUUUGUUUCUUGUUCAUUGGUUCUUGUAACAAGAUCUGGAACUGAGAUUUGUACCAGUGAAUGUGGUCUGGUUCUAAUUUCUGUACAUGAGAGUGUAACUGAUUGUGGUAUCUGAGAAACGUGUACCUAUUAUCAUUAUGAGAACAGGUUCAACCGUUUGCUUAUUCACCUAUGUCUCUAGAUUCUGAUUUGAGUGAAUGAAACCAUUUUAUACUUGUUAGUCAUUUGUUGAUUUCUUUGAUAUGGUGAUGCUCUUUUGGCUCAAAAUGUUGUUAGUUUUAUGCAGGAGGAUGCUAGUAUUUUUUGACAUUUUUUUUAGAUUUAAUAAUGACAUAUCAGCAUUUGUGUUUAAAUUUCCGUUAACUUGGAUGGAAACUGAAAUGAUGUUUUAUUAAAAGGAUGAUUUGGAAUUUAAAAUAAUUCGGAUUAAAUUUAAUAAUCUAUUCAAAGUUCGGUUAGAUUUGGAUAUUUGGUCAUAAAUAAAUCAAAAAAAUUAGUCAGAAAAUCUAAAUUAAUAAUAGAGAAUUCAAUGGGAAGUUGCGGACAUAUUGCUUUGCAAUUUUUGUAAUUUAAAUCAAUGAAACAACCAAAAUUCUUUAAAUAUUCAACCAAUGUUGACCAUUAGAUUCAAUUAAAUAGAAUCAAUGGUGGGUAUUGGUGUACUAUAAAAAAAAGGGUAUGGGUGUCGUUAUGUGACAACAAAAUAUGAUAUUAUCGUAGCAAAAUUUCUACAAUAACUUUUUCUUCCUAUCUAUACUUAAGGAUGACAAUCAAAACUGCAAAAGUGAAUAAAUCUUGAAUCCUUUAGUGAAACCCAUUUAUAAACCCGUCAAAGUCGAAUUUAGGCGGGACGGUUAACACUACAAGGAAGAAAGUUUUUGAAAAGGGUUAUAAAGUCAGUUGACAGUUGUUUAAAGCCCUGCCAAACGGUUUAACAGCGGGUUGAGAUCCGUUGUUAAACAAAGCAAUGCUAAGCCGUUUAACAGCGAUUUUAAUUAUUCCACUAGUAAACUAUGAAACCCCUGUUAAACUAGGCCUCAUUUAACAGCAGAUUCAAACCCCUGUUAAACUGGGCCUCAUUUAACAGCGGAUUACAACCACUGUUAAACUGGGUCCCGUUUAACAACGGAUCUGUACCGCUGUUAAACUGGGACUAGUUUAACAGCGGUUUAAACUAGGCCUCAUUUAACAGCAGAUUCAAACCCCUGUUAAACUGGGCCUCAUUUAACAGCGGAUUACAACCACUGUUAAACUGGGUCCCGUUUAACAACGGAUCUGUACCGCUGUUAAACUGGGACUAGUUUAAUUAAACGGCAUUUGCAGAAACAAAUUUCAGCUUCUAGAAUUGCUAUUUCCUAAUGGUUCUAUUUUCAGAAUUGCUGUAAUAUGGAUUAAUUUCCUAAUUACAGUUUCAAUCUCAACAUUCACGUCCAACUCAAAUAUAACAGAAACAAGAACAAGAUUACCUAAGUUUACAAAAAUUUUGGCAAACUAUCAACGGACCUAGAGGUCGAUGUAAACCUUUAUGAGCUAGAGCUAUCAAAGACCUACAAAAGAAGAACAAGAUUACCUAAGUUUACAUAAAUUUUGGCAUGACUAAUCUAUAAGUACAAAUACUACAUACCCUUCAAACAACAAAAUCAACAUAUUCUAACACAUUUCUACACUAAAUUUGAAAUCACAUCCCACACUUACAACCUUCAUUCAACAAAAGAACUAGUCCAAGUUUAACAGCGGUUACAAACCGCUGUUACACGCUAUCUGUUUAGCAGGGUUAUAAAACCGCUGUUAAAUAUCCGCUGCCAGAAACUGUUUUUGUUGUAGUGUAAACCCGAAAAAUAAAUUUAGCGAGUAUGGGUCGGGGAUAGAUAUUGUACCAUCCGCUCUAUAACACCCCAAACAAACCGAGCUUGAAAUCAUGUUGACUUUAUGAAUAACAUCGAAAUCGUUACGGGGUGCUACGCUACUCAUGACAAUUAUAAAAGUAAGACUAAAAAAUUUCGUUAAUCUCCUUCCUUUUGAGGUAGUAGAAUCAAUUUUGACCUAACCUGUUAGAAAUCCAGACUAGGCCACCUCCAAAUCACACGUAUAUGCUAGGAAAACAUAAGCAUACUUUAUUUCAAUUCCACAAAGACACAGGACGGGUGAAAAUACACAUACCCCACAAGUACUAGUAAUUUAUGUGGCCAUUGUGGCCAUUAUGUCCAUUACACAUUACAGAACAUUCUUGCAACAUGUAGAUAUAUGUGAUGACACAUGACAUAUGCAUAUGACGAGAAUAUAAAUAUUAAAAUGCUUUAAAAUCAACGUUGAGGAUUAAGACACAUUCUUAUGAUUCUACCUGACAUCAUCACCACGAUCGCCUAUUGAUGAACCCCUCCUUGAUGCCAUGACAACCAGUUGUAGAAUCUAAGUGUGUACUGGUGCAGCUUGCUGUCGUUCUAGAGGAAAACACGAGUAAAUGCUAAUCACUGAGUGAGGGUCAUAUACCCUGGGUCUAACUAAGGUGAAAUCAAUCUUAUAAAAAAUAUUCUCUCAAGUAACACGUAGGGCCAUAACUAGGACUCCAAUCCUUCAUUCCAUAUUUUAGUGGAGAUCCCGUCUCACGUAUGCUAGACAAUUCCCGAGUAUCACAUAUCAUUGGCUGCACCAUUAAGGGCCCACUCGGGGUCCCAUACACAUACACAUUCACAUAAAUCGCCAGCAUACGGGCCCUAAUCUAGGUGAUCAAGGAACUACCAGUUUAUUCAUCCUAGAAUGAUUGUUUAUGUGAAUACUCAUUCAAUACAAAACAACUCUAAACAUAUAUCAUAUAUCACAAUAGAGAAAUGAACCACAUGUUAUAUCGAAAUCACCAAAAAUCACAGGCAUAAUAAAUAACUAUUAUCAUCAACAACUUAUGAUGAAUCGACCGCUACUCUAUCAUGCAUACGACCUUAAUAAUAAUAAACACAUAAAGGAACGUCUAACCCAAUCGGAAUCAUAUGAGACCCUCACCGAAAAAGAUUAGCUGAAACACUAGUAUGAGCUUUUGGGUCAAAUCCUCUCAACUUCUGUAAUCUCUACCUCCAAACCUAAAACACAAUUUCCACCUCUUAAGCCUAGUUACUAAUAGAUGUAUUAUUGUCCUUAGAUGCAAAUAAAAUGAUACAUUUUUAUAGCCAAAUAUUAUUGUCUUUUUCCUUUUAGAAACUAGGAAAACAAUUAUACUUAUCAUUAGUAGAUUAUGGUCUUCUUAUGACCUUUAAAUACUCAUUUUUCAUCACAAUGUCCAAAAGUGCGGUCAGUGCACCAAAAAUUGCAUUUUCGGAUCCAAAAAAUUGACUUUUUCUAUCUUGCAUUUUUUUCGUCCGUUCAAUUCCUUUUCUCAUAUGCCUUCAUGAUAGCAUACCACAUGUCCAUGCAAUUACUUUGACGCCAAUAUAUUUGAAAUAUCUACAAAAGCACUCAAAAACGACAUCAAAUGACCUCGAAGAGGUUCAAAAGAACAAAAAAACAAAUUUCAAUUAAAGGUCUUAAAAUCUACCUCAAAGUGAUAUGAUAUGCAUGAAAUGUCUCUUCAAAUGGAGUGAUGAACAAUAAAUCUAACACCAUCAGUUAACUAGGAACUCAUAUAUAUGACUUGUGUGGAAUGCUACUUUCCGUUGUAUCUUUUCUUUACUUUUUGAUGUAUGUCGCAUCCUCUCAAACGAGGUUACAUAAUAGUGAUACAAAGUCAGAACGGACGGGCCAUAUUCCGAAUGAGGUCGCUAAAAAGGCCAAUGUGUCCAACAAAUGUGAUAGGGGCUUUGUUGUGACUUUUCUUCUCACCCCUUCAAGUUGUGGGUCGGGGUAUUGGUGCCAGCUAUUGCUAAAAUCCUCUCUAAAAUCAAAUACAAUAGUCAAGCAAACAAGCUCAAAAUAAGACAGGUGUGCUAUGUGCUUGAAUCAUAGAUCACAUUUGUUCUGUAAAGCAUCCCCAACUUCAGGACGGGCAAAGCCGAUCAGGUCCGCCCAUCUGUCCGUUUCGUCAAAUAUUACCCGAAAAUGUAUAAUUUUUUAGUGGGUUUUAAGAUACACGCUGACGGUUAGGUGUCGAGUUAUAAAAGUUAUAUGUAUGAGUUGGUGGUGUACUACUCUAAGACACUUGGUGUUUGUCCAUAUUUGUGUGGUUUGCUAAUUUGGUUGCACCCCUGGCAUCGUGAAGUAGGUUUAAGAUGUUAGGCCAUGUUUUUCCUAUCAUCACAUUUUGAGUUGAUAUUGAGUGUGAUUAGUAGGAUUGCUUGACGACAAUCAAUGUUCAAAUGUGGGGUAGUUUGAUAUCACCCAAAACAUGGUGAUUAUCACACCCAUUUUAUUACACCCUGAACUUAAUGACAUAAUUUAUAUUAUAAAGUUUCUAAAAAUAUCGUUUGUAAAAAUGUAAUAACAUUACACCCUGAACCUAGUGGGUGAAAUUUUUGCUCGAAAAUAUCUAAUGCCCCCAACAAAGUCCAAGGGGAAUUACUUUAUGAUGAUUUAUUAUUACUCUUAUUGUUAUUAAUAACAAUAUUAUUAUUAGCAUAAGUAUGAUGAUAAUUAUAUAAUAGGUUUAAUUCCAUUAAAAGGCCUAAACUAUCACAAAAAAGACAUAUUUAGCCCAAACUAUUCAAAAAGACAAUAAUCGCAUGAUUUUAGAAUAGGGUUAAUUUCGUUAAAAAAAUGAACGUUUCUAUUAUGAUUUGAUGAUGUGUCUAACGUAAUUGAUUAGGUGGAAUAUGAUGCCACCUAUGAAAAUAUUAAAAGACUUGCACAAAAAUUAAAGUUUAUGGUAUAAAAGAAAUACUUAAUCCUUUAUUAUGGCAAAACCGUAAAACCUUCGUAUAAACUCAUUUUUGUGUUAUGGUGGCGGUCAGACGUUUGUUUAUCGGAUGGCAGCGCUCAGUGAUUUUUUUGUUUUAAUAUUUUGAAGAAUGCUUCUCGGACGGUGGCGCUCGGUGUAUCGUUUCUAUUUCGAAGAUAGCUACAUCCAUCACCUACUUCACCUCUUUACAAAAUGAAUGAUCACAUGAGAUGAUAAGAGAUAACAGAUGUGCUUGAUAAAAUAGCACUGGACCAUGGCGAUUUAAGUGAGGGUCAAAGUGUAGUUGGUGAAGAGGUUGUGCAUCUUUUCUCUGACGGUGAUAGGACAACAGAUGAUGAGUUUCAUGAGGCUGUAAACAAACUAAAAAGUUGUCGAAGAAAAAAGAAGGUCACCAAAAAUAAUUAUGGAGAAGAAGUUGAGCAAUCAAUGUUACAUUUGAAGUCUGCUGAUCACAGGGUGAGGUUUGUAUGAUUAGGUGUUAGCCCUUUGGCAGCCCAUGGCGAACAAGUUGAAAUUGAUUCUCAAAACUGGAAUAAUCCAAUGAACUAUUCUCCAACCUCCAUUUAUAGAGAUUCAUCAGAUUCAGAGCAUGUACAAGGAAAUUUAUCGGACGAAGGACAUGUAGAUGUAACUAACAAGUUUGGCUUUUACGACCCAAACUGUGAUCAUAUGAAACUACAGUUCAAGGAAGGCAUGAAGUUUACUAGCGACUCUCACUAUUCCAAAAUUGGUAAACUGCUUCUCGAAGAGCCUCAGUAAGAUCAUUUUUUAUAACUAGCCUACUCUUCUUGAUGAAAGUGAGAUUAAAUCCGUCAGGUCCUGGAGCUUUGUCUCCCUCACAGAACCUAACAACUUCAAAGAUCUCUUCAUCCGAAAAGGGACGAAGCAGCAGGUCCCAAGAGUUACAAUCAAUUUUUUUGAAAUUGAGAGAAGUAGGCAAAGGAUGGCUUGGAUACCCUCCGAGUUAAAGAACUUAGAGAAGUGAUAUGAAAUUCCAUCCGCCACUGAGUUGUGUCCAAGGAAGUCCAAGGAAAACUUGACCAUUGAUUCUUAUCUUCCCAACCCAAUUCAUUUUCUCAACCUAAAGAAAUACUUGUUUGUUUAGUUUUAAUUAGUCAGUGUUUUAUGAAAACACUUUUCCUCUGAGCCCACAUUUCCUCUCAGAUGUGCAUUUUUCAAAUACAUGAUGUUGAUGAUGUUUUCUUCAAAACUCUGAGUUUUCGUAAACAAUGGAUAGAUAUUGGUUUGUAAAAUAUGGGACGAGUAUGGUAUAAUAUUAAUACGGACAGAGUUUCAUACAUUGUAUCAACACAAUAAUACGUUUAAAUUUCGGCAACAAUAUUAAAAUUUUAAAAUUAAACGGCUCUAGAAUAGUACGAGAAAGGAAGUUCUAAACGUAUAUAGUAUGCAUAUGUAUAUUAUACGAGUAUUAAACGAAUUUUUACUAACUAGAAGAUGAUGAGUUUUGAAAUUGAAUUUCAACUAAAGGUAUCAUAGUCAUUGCACAAUAAAUCCCUAACAAACUAAAAAUUAUAUUUCAAUUUUAAUAUUUAUCACCAAACAAUGUAAUUAAAAUUACUCAAUUUUUAAUUUUUUAAUUUCCUUUUUCUACUUUUUUCUCAUUCUUCAUUACUCGAGACCAAAGUCAUUUAGCACAACGAAUUCUGACAAUGACCUAGGAGAGCCCACAAACUCACACUGCUCUCGGAUGAGAUUGAAAUCCCCAAUGCAACAGAUCGGAAAUGAGCUAUGAGCAACAACAAAAUCGGAGAGUUUAUCCUCACGAGAGCAUGGACCGUAAACGUUGACGAGCAACCAAGUAGUCUUGUCCUCUCUAUUAGCAAAAAGAGCAGCCAAAAAUAUGUCUUAUAAGUUACACUAAUUACUUUUGCGUAGGACACUCAUACAGCAAAACCACCAACAUUUACAAUCUGGAGACACUCGAGAAUCACGCAAGGAAUUUCAAGGGUUAUCGCAGAGAAAAUGUAUGUCCAGAAUAUAUCUGCAGAGGGAAUAACCUGUGCACCAGCACGCAUUCUGUUUCUUUUCCCCAAUGGAGCGCAUCACAAAUCUGGUUUCUAGAUAGGAUGAGGGACGGCUCCUUGAAGAUUUUUCACUGCACUCUCAUAGUUGACAAAACCCAUGAACCAGAAUUCAUGAUUGUCGAUAGAGAUUAUCUGGAUAUACUUUUCAGACGUGUUCACCUUGCUUGUUGAUGGAUUCACAGCCUUCAGUUGAUGCAAGGGAAUAACAACCUAUACCACAACAUUUCAAGGGUAAACGUAUAUCCAACAGACCGGAAUAACCGGCUCACGAAAAGAUAAGAUAAUCUAACCACGGGGGUGGAGGGAUUCAUCCAUGACAUAGCAUCAUUACUUUCAGCAUAUAAUCAUAAUUACCAUGGUCUGGGUAGUCAUAUACUUACAAUGCUAUACCACUCCUCAUAUUUUAGUUCAAUACAACGUUCACUAUAUGUUUCUUUUCCUGUCAAUAACAAUUCAUUAUUUUACACCAACCUAAAAGGAGAAGAAAAAGAACACUAGACGAUACAUAAAACAACACUGAAAAUUGCUUUCACACUAACCUAAUCGUCAUUACAGAUUCUAAUCACAGAAGCAUGUACCUAUUCACUGGAUCAAGUGAAGUCUCAUAAGUUGAUAAACUACAGUGAAUGCGCACCUUAAGAGAUACCAGAAACAUUACGAAGCUCCUAGAAAGUAACAGUUUCCAGAUGCAAAUUGCAAUGAAUCAAUUACUUUGCAGGUAAACAAGACAUCCUUACAGUACCUGUACCCAUAAUGAAUUGACAGUCUGUUUAUGAUGUGAAAUUAACCAAAGGCUUACGCGCACAUCCAGAAAAAUAAGCCAGCACAAACAAACCAGAGAGAGACAGAAACAGAAACAGAAGUGAACAAGUGACAGGAAGUGAUACUCAAGUAUUCCAGCUUACCUUGUAAUAGCUCCAUUGAGUUUGAUCAGCAACAUUGUAUGAGAGAGGAUUAUCACUACAAAAUGCAAGCUUUGCAGUAGACAAGUAUAAAGUCCCCAUGACAGGGCCAGCAGAGGUUGAGAGGUAGCACGCAUAGGUCUUAGUAAGUUGUUCAUCAGGAAUACUCUCAAACGUCUGUUUGAAAACCUUCUCAUAACCACCUUCUGCAAGCACCUUGGUGGAUUGGGCAAUCCUUCCAACAGCAGCAUCAGCAAAGCUAGGCCCCGUCUUCACUGAGCCAAAGAGAUCAACAAUCAAGAUGCAUGAUUGCAAACUGGAAAUGAAUUAUGUAUAAAUGGGCGCCAAACAUGAAACAUCACAUAGCUAUUUUCACGGCAAGUUUCCAGUCCAGAAAUAGACUAUUGGAAAACAAUUUCCGGACAUUAGGGGGAUAAAAAUAGAGAAGCAUACAGUGUUGCCACAUGUUGCCAGCAAGAUCCUCGGCCAUCUUGGUAGCCUCAGCAGCCUUCUUCCCCCAUUUACCUAGCACAUCUUUCACUGCAUCCAUCUUGUCUGCCAAACACAAACCAAGUUUCAUCAACACGAAAACAAAAACCCUAAAAGCAGAAGAAGAAAAGAAAACUCACUCUUAGAGGCGGGCGCAGGGGACACAUAGGGAUUGGAUUCAGGUGGCAUAGUAGUAGCAUGAUCGCCAGGGAUCGGAGUAGGACCGGGAGCAGCGGCGUGAGACUGAGAUGGAGGAGGAACGGAGCCGGCCAUGGAGACGUCAGCCCAAUUCUCAGAAGGGGGUGCUACGUCUUUAGGAUCGAGCUUAGGGUAGGGCGCGUAGUCGGAGGUAAUGGAUUCCGCAGUCGGUGUUUUAAUGGCGGGUUGAUCAAGGUGCUGCUGCAGCUGCGGUGGAAGAGGAUGCUGAUUCUCAGCCAUGGAUUCGGAUCUGAAGGCGGAGAGAAGUAGCGGAUUACGGGUAGAGAAAGAAAAGAUAUUAACUGGAAGAGAUUAUUGGUUUCGAAUUUCGAUGAUUUGAUUUUUCAUUUCAGGAGUCGGCGUCUUGGAUUCGAAUUCCCAGUUUCUAGACAACAGCUGUCCGCCCGACUCUCUUUUUCUCUUUUCUUUUUCUUUUCUUAACCGUUGGGUUGGAAAAUAUUUUAGGGUUUGUUUGGAUCCAAUUUUUCUUGGGUGCAAAUUUCGGAUUCGUCAAUAGAUGCUGACUAUUUGAUUUAAUGGCUGAAAGAAAUUUUGGCAGAUCAACGGCAGGGGUUGGAUAAUGGGGCCGUUACUAAUUUCAAAGCUGCACCGCUAAACAUCGCCCUAACUUUCGAAAAAAAUGGUCCUAACUUUAAAACUUGAAUAGUGAAAUUACAAAAAUACCCUUCAAUUCCGUAUUAAAAACCGGCGAACAGAAUCAUUUAGCAUCACUUUCACCAUCCAACACAAAUUUUGCUAUGAAAAAAUCAGCCCUCGUUCUAGCCGUUCGUAAUGCCGCCGCCGCUGCCAACUCCAUCACAGCCCACACCGACGCAGCAGCCGCCAUCACCGCAGUAACCGCCGCCACGGAAAAGGUAGGAAAAAAAUGUUGCCGUCCCCGUCGCCGUCGCCGCCGCAAGGUACGCCGGAAUCAGGUCCCAGCCGUCCAAAACGGACGGCCCGAUUCAAAGCCAGCCGCCCAAAUCGGACGGCCCGAUUCAAAGCCAGCCGCCCAAAUCGGAUGGCCCGAUUCAAAGCCACCCUCGCCAUAUGUUCGUAAUGCCUCCAAGGUUAUCUUGGUUCCUAGGCAUUUCUUCAAGCACUUGGUGUUUAUUAUUGAGGGACCCCAGUGAUAGUUUUAGGGUAUUAGAGUCUUUAUGCAUCCCUCUUAAACGGUAGUGGGGCAAACCUCAAUGAGGAUGUUGAGUCUCGGUGGGGUGUUAAUGUAACACCAUAUGAAAAUCCCACAUCGACAAAGAUCAUGCGAGAUUCAUCGGGUAUAAAGAACAAUUUGUCCCUAAUUGAUCACAAGACACAUUUGAAGGGUGAAAUGGAUGAGUUAUUCUAAGAAUUCUAAAGUUAAUCAUGCUAGGGUGGGAGCACGGCAUAAUGGGUGGCCUCCUAGAAAGUCAUAGUUAUGCACCCAAAAGUUAAUCAUCUUGUAUUCCAAGUAAUAUUGUUUCCUUUUUGGUCAACUCUUGUAUCUUGCUAAUUAAUAGGUUGUUUGUUUCCUUUCCUUGCAUCUUAUAAUUAGUUGUAGUUAAAGAUCUUUCCAAGUUUUGAGGCGCUAGACCGUGACUAGCUAGGUUGAGUAGAACGUGUCGAAAGUGACCCUGAGAUCUAUGACAACCUUGUGUGUCAAAUUCUAGCUCACUGUAGGAUUCGAGAUCAAACUUUUGGUGUCGUUGUCGAGGACAUCUUUUGAUCCUUUGAAAGGCCUAGCAAUAAGCGAUCUAGUCUUUUGACCUUGCUUUCCUUUUUUCUUCUGUUGUUUGUUAUUUUGUAUAGUUUACUUGUGUUUUGUCUUUACUCUCCCACUCAAUUUUACUUGGGUUGUUUGUGUUUGAGGUCAAAUGUAGGGAUAUUUUUAAAAUGGAGAUUGGUAAGGUUCGUAUGGGGCAAAUAAUGGGAAUGAGGGGUGAAAUUCUUAUCCCAACCCACACCAACAUUAGUAGCACCAAAGUCCAUCAAGCUACUAUCUACCUGGGUAUGGAGGAAUGCAACAAGAGUGGAUGAACUUCAUGCAAAGGGCAAUACCAUAAUGGAUGCACAUCAAACUUCACCAACUUUUCACCAAGAUUCGACCACAUCUUCUUACCACCAAGAAUUACAUCAAUUUUUUCACCUACUCCGGAACACACAAAAGCCACUCUUCUUGCCGAGAGUCUUGAAUCGCAACAUGAUUUGUCAAGGAACACACUUCUUCUUGUAAGUUUUGCUUCGCAGCAUGAGAUAGCGAAGGACACAAGUAUGGGUGGAUCACUAAGUUACUUUGAAUGUGCCUUACAACCAAGAAGACGAAGAGAUGAAAGAACCUUCAACCUUUAAAGACAAGCCAAUGAUCCAUGAUGAUGAGGUAGAGGAGUUAGAAAGGGAUGAAGUUCUUUCCCUUGAAGACGAUCUACUUCGAUUGUAUUCGAGGUUGGAGAUGUACGGAAGAGCGUGUGGAGAAAACGUGGAAUCAUCAAUGUUGAGUCUUAAUGUUUGAUGCAUUUUUGGAUUAGGUGAUGAGCUAUGUUUAGAACUUUUCUAAAAUUUGCCCAGGUCUACACGUCGUGUUGUCUUACACGGUGGGUGUGUCUUGCUCACCCAUUCCUUCUCUUUUUCAUGUUUUCAAUCAUACACCUCAUGUUUCGUUACACGGAGUGUACCACCACUAGAAUUUCAAACCUUGAUCAUUGUUCUCGAUGCAGCAAAACAGGACACACACGACAGGAGACCUCCGCAUAACCCGUGUUGCUUAACCCCAACAGCAGAAACCGUGUUGCUUAACCUGUGCAGCAGGAGACCUCCGCAAUAUUAUUCAUUCAUGUUAUUUCACUUGUUAUACUAUUAUGAUACUCAUAUUAUGUGCUUAUAUAGUUAAGUUAGAAAACAAUAUGAUUAGAUAAUUAGUAAACAAGAAAGAACUUCCCUAAUCCUAGACAUUUAGUAGACAAUUUGGCAGUUAAAUGAUAUAGCAACACAUACCUCUCUAGCUAGAACCCGAUCCAAUUUGUAGGCCUAGGAUCUUGGGCCACUAGAGAGCCAAGUAUUAGCUUAUUGGGCCACUAGAAACCGAACCGAACGUUGAGCUGCUCGCGAUCGACUUGGUUCUUCAACGGCUCUAGGUGCGUGGUAUUGGUGGUUAGUGAGAUGAUUGAUGAGGCCCACGUUCCAUGAGAUCUUUUAAAUGAGGAGGCUGAGAUGGAUUCCAUGUACCUCCAUUCUUCUAGCUGUUCAACACGAGGAUGAGUUUUCUCUUGUAGAUGCAGUUGGUCAGCUUAUCGCUUAGUAGACACAGUUCGAGACUAAGACUCGAGCUGCUAUUACUGACUUUACCUCUAGACUCUAUUGGCUACAAUACAUGUUAGACAUGAUGGAUCUCCCCCACUAGAUUAGUUACCACAAUAAGAGUGACGUUUGCGAGUUUUCAGGACUUUGAUUUUUGUCUUUGUUUAUGUUUCUUUUUCUUUAUAUUCUUUUGUUAUAUUUGCUACUCUAUGGUACUGUUGUUUUUACCUGUUUGACCCCAUAAAUCAAAAUAUAGUUAUGGCAGUUAUUAUCCAUGUAAUGUUUCUUAUUAUCUUCUUUUCAUGUGUAUGUUUCAGACUUUCCCUAAUAUUUUGACUCGAGUUAUUCUAUUUGGAUCCUAUUUGCGGGUUAUUUCUCCCUACAUCAUUUAUGCUUGUUCUUGACAGUACACUUUCUCCUUCUCUACUAUUUUCCAAUCAAAUUAAGGACACUAUGCGAUUUAAGUGUGUGGUGGAAACUCUUCUGAAAGCGUACUUAUUUUUGAAUAGAUGUUCAGGGUGCUAGUUAGCUAAUCAUUGUGACUUCUUCAUUUGGAUUGAUGUUUCUUUUGAAUCCCUCUCAAAUUCUGCAAUGUGGUUGUCGAUGGAUGCAUGUUUAGUAUACUCAUAGUGAUUGUUGAUGAAUAGAAUGCUUAGUUGGAUAUUUUUAGACUACCUCCCAUUUUCCUCAAACUAGUAUAUUAAAGAUUCAUGUUUAUGACAUUUAUGAUUUUAUAUCUUCAUUGUUUCUUCCCUUUCUUAAUGGUGUAUGUUGGAUCCUUCUAACAAAAUUUCCUAGUAUUGUUAUAAAGUCAAAACAGACGGGACCAUUUCAAAUGAGGUUAAUAAAAAAGGCUAACGAGUCCUUCAAAUGUGGUGGGAGUUUAAAAGCAAACCCUUUUUGAAAAAAAACAAGCCUUGCUAAAAAGUAGAUACUCAAGCAAAGCAACUCAAAAUAAAAGGGGAGUGUUAGCAUGCUUGAAUGCUAAUUUGAAAAGAAAAAGAAAACGCACUCCUCCCUCAGGAUGGGAAAAAGAUCCGAUCGGGACAAUCCGUCUGUAUGAUCAUACAUUUUCUUCCUCUCUCCCACCUUGUUUGCCCCAUAAACAAUAUAAAGGAAACAAAGCUUAACACCAUCAAUCUUUAUCGGGAUUAUUGAUCUAAAUACCUAACAACUUGCAACUGAAGAUAACCACGCUAUAAUACACAAAUCUUUUACAAAGGGUUAUGAUCAUAAUUUGUGAAGUGCUGCCAAAAAGAAAAAGUAUCCGACAAAAUUCUCUGAGAUUUACUAUUCUUUCCUCUAGUCUCUAAAAUACCAAACAUAUUUAUAUUUAUUUUAUUUUUAUAACUAUAUGUUUAACGGCGGAAUUAAAUCCCCGCUGAUUCCAUACUAAUACCUUCAUUUCCCCUUCUUACCCCGUUUCCUACCUCUUCAAGCAGGGGUAAAUGUACUUAUAUAGUCACCAAGAGUUGCCUGACCAAAUCUGUUUCUCAGGCAUUGCCUGACCAGGGAUAUGAAUCAGUUUCUCAGGCAGGGACACAUGUGGGGAUUCUGCCAUAAUCUCCUCUUCAACCUCUUCAUCUCUGUCAUGAAUCACCUCUUUCACCGAAUUCCCAACAUUCAAAGGGUACAUGGUGGUAGCCUCCACCUGCGUUGAGGUUUGGGUUACCACUACAUGUUGAACAGUAUCUAAUGUCUUCGAGUGAAAAGCAUGAACAACAAAGUCUGUUCUCCCUCCAGCCAACAGUAGGCUAACAUCUGCAGGUGGUUCCUCCCCUUGCAAAGAAGGUUCGUCUCUAUUGCCUACACGAAUGUCAUCUACCACUUCAAUUGGUGGCUGAGCUUUUGGGAUACAUUGCUUCUCCACACGCUUCAUCUCUUGCUUCUUAUACGAUCUCAUUUGAGGCGAGUCAAUGGGAAUGACCAUUCUACUUCCAUCAAGAUGAAUUGUGAUAUUUUCCGGACACAGCCGUUUUCUGCAUUAACAAGCAUACCAAUACUAUUGAGGCCUUUACGAAUAAACCUGUUAAUUGGCUUUCCAAUACUAUUGACUAGCCAUUCAAUGUCGUUGUUUGUGAUUAAGUAUGGAGUAACAUCAUGGAGAGUAAUCCAAGUGGGUACUUCCUUGACCUCAAGAUCAAGCGGCACAAUACUAGGCUGCCACUUCCUUAGAACCAUCGGUGACUGAUGAAUGUGCCAACCCCUAUGAAGAACCCAAUAACAAAGAGAGACUGAAAGAAACUACAUUAAGAAAAACCCAGCUGAAAUCUUUGAGAGAACAAUCUCCCCCUCAUAACCCCAUAACCUGUUGAUCAUCAAGGAAAUAACUCGGAUCGGGGGAACAGUGCCCAUAAACUGAGCAACAACAACCGCUUCAAUCUUUUGUAAACCCAAGUCAAUCACCGAUUGAGGGAUACUCAAAGCCUUAUCCACGAUGGCCGAGUCAGGGACCUCCACAGCCUUCAGAUCUGAGUCUUGAAGACCCAGAAUCGAAGCCCAAGACACAAAUGGCUCCCCAGCCACUCCACCCUUUUCGGACUAGAAGCAGAUCCAGACCCGGCGCGAGAGGAGGAUGGACUGGAUUGGAGUGUGGAGGGCGACAAUGGAGGAGCAUCAACCAUUAAAGAAAGAAGAGAGAAGAGGAAGAAGAGCCGGGGCCGCAAUGCGCCGUCCGGCGACAAAAGACGGAGAAGGGAACAAAAGAGCAGUUCAGAGGUUUUCACGCUCCAUCAAGCGAUCCAGAUACUAGUGCAACAUCUGACCACACACAAAUCCAAUUUGAUUUCUAUUCAUCUAAUUAGCAUCAUUGGCCAAAUUAUUGCUUUUAAAAUUUACAUCAAAAAUUUUGAGUGCAAACACGAGCUGUAAAAUAAACUGUGGCGAGAUUAGAUAUCUAUAGGUUGAGAUAUUUGUGAGUCUUGUUUAUUUUGCACUAACAAUGUUUUGUAAGAUUCGACAUCAAAUGGUGGAGAUCCAACAGAAGCUCCAGGUCACUCGAGCAAGACCACCAACCAAAGCCUAAUCCAAAUUGGCAUCACCACCAACACGAGUACUUAAAGGUCGAUGCACCAUUGCUGCCGUAACCAUGGAGGACUUAAAGCAGCGAGAGAAUCUUUUCUACACAUAAGCCAUGCUAGGAUUCAUGUUGCCCUGGAGAAUGAUCAGCCUAGUAUCAUGUUAGGAGAGCAUCACUCGUAGAUAAUUCCGUGCUCAAUGAUGAUCUUUUGCAUCCUAAACUUGUGCUCCAUCAACUGUGUGGUCUAAGAUUUGAUCAAAGAUCUCGAUACUUUAACUACUUGGCAUUUAACUCUUAUAUUUUUUAUACGUAUAUGUUGCUGCCUAACAAUGUAAUCAUAGGAAAAUGAGAGUUUGAGAGAGUAGUAAUCCCAAAGAGCCAUUGAACAUCCAUGGAAUGAAAGGUUGCUUGGACUGAUGAACUAGAAGAUGUUGAAGGCUUUGAUUUCGCGCCUGAAAGAUGUCAUGGUCAUACAAAGGAACCACCACCACGGUGAAAACCAUGAAUGAAAAAUGUGACACGUAUUGAUGAGCCACGUAUCGACUGGAGCUACAAAAUCUCAAGGAAGUUCCUUUUUAAACGAUGAUGAUUUAAUGACAACGCGUGAUGAAUAUGGAAUAACUUGUGGUUUCAAUGAAUGGGCAUAUUCGAGGACGAAUCCUUUUCAAGAAGGGGCCAUGAUGACGUCAUCACAGUGGUCCAUCAUGAAGAUUCCAAAGCUCUAGUCAUUCAAGUCCACUCGAAGGUACUCAACGGGAAGGCCACGGAAUCGGUGGAAUCGUGGAGCCAAAUCAAAGAUUUCGAAGAGGAACUGUCAAAAAAGGAUUCUAGGAUACCCCUCACGUGGAUACAUGAAGGUAAACACAUUCUUGAAGGCUACCUAACAAAAUGAGUGGCACUGCUCACAAAUGAUAUUGUUAUCGCACCAACAACAACGGGCUCGCACCCUAGACCAAUCAGCAUCACUUCUCUGGACCAAAAUGAAUACAAGAAUACUAAUAUAAAAUUAGAAGAUAUUUGGUCGAGCCACAUUAGCCCAGAAAUCAAAGGAACUCAACCAAUGUGCAAAUUGCACCUUUCCGGUGCACCAAAUUGGGUCCACUCUCACCCAACAGCAAAGAACACAACUUUUCUCCACCUAUCUCAAGACCAUAGCUACAUUAUGAUUCGAAAAGACCCUCCCCCAAGUUUGAAACCAUACAGAGUUGUAGAGUGAUCCAAGGUGCAAAGCUACUCUAAAUCACACCAACUGGCAUUCAGAGCAACUUUAUUCGAGCUAUAUGUGGACUAGAGUCAUUUUACACUUAGACGAUAUUCAAACAGUUCAUCGUAGUUAAAUCAAGAAUCAGACCCGAGGCCAUUAAGUGGCCACGCCGCUGUAGCACCAGUGCCAUCGAAAUGAGACCUCUUGCACGCCUUCGAACCCGGGCCUAUUCUUCUCGACCCAGAAGUUGUCUAAACAUUCAAGGGGUUGCCUUGAAUAUGUUCAUGGUCCGAGACAAGGCCUACUACCCGCCACUAAGCCUAUGACUCAGUAAGACCACUUUCGAAGCUUAAGUGGCCCUCCUUCCUUUCUUGCGUUUUAAAGAAAAUUGUGGACUAUUUUAAUUUAGAAUUGAUAGUUUUUUUAAGACCCAAGAAGCUCUCAUAAAGGAGUCCUUGGCCAAUCUAGCUUAUAGGAAAUGGAGUUGAAUUCGUCAAAUUAGUGUCCUAGUCUAAUAAGGAAUCCCCUUCGUUGUUGGGUAAGGCUCCUUUUUGUUAUUUCAUUGUGAUUUUUGACCACCAACUUAUCUAUAAAAGGAGGGCUUAAUUAGAUCAUUUUAAUUGACAAAAACCCCUCAAAAUAAUUUUCAGAUAAUUUUUGCCUUUAAGCUAUUUUGUGUUUUUGUCUCGUUUUUAGCACGUCGUUGCUAGACUAAUGGAUUUCGGAUUAUCGAGGUCAGGCUUUCUGACCUUUCUUGGUGGUUCCUUCGACUUGACCCUUAAGAUUUACCUCUUUUUUAUGUGAGUGGUCGGUCUAGGUACGAAAAGCAUCCUUUUUUAGAUUUUGCUCGUUGUUUUAAAACUGUUAGGAUAAUCAUCUCAUCGGCCGAGUUUGUGUCAUUUGGUUCAUAUCGGCACCAUGCUCCACUCUUUCGCUCAUUGUUUUAAAAAUAUCAUUAGACAUGAUAUUAAUACAUAAUGCCAUAAAUACUCUGAUAUGGGAUAAACAUUUCACAUAAGGUAUAUGCUUACAUUUCACUAAGAUACAAAAAAGAAAGGGAGGAGUUGGGUGUAAGUUGUGACUGGAGUGGGUAGGGGAAGAGAUUGGGGCAGGUGUAGAGGGGAUAUAGGCAAGUGGAUGUUGGAGAAGUAGGAUUCGAUUUUGAUGCAUUAUUUGGUCAUGGUUUUAUUAACUGUAUUAUUUGGUCAUGGUUUUAUUAACGUCACGAGUAGCGUAAAACUCCGGAACGUUUUUGCUAUUUCUAGUAAAAAAUAUGAUUUCUAGUUGGUUGUAGUUGGAGUUACAAAAAUCACAAUGAACAUCAAAAUGGGGAGAGGCCUCCUAAAUCUCUCUCAACCCCUGAACCCCUUCUGAAAAAGUGGAAAAUCCCAAGUCUUACCUUCGAUUGUCUUGGGAAAAUCUAUUUUGAUGACCAUAACACCUCCCUAUAUGAUCCCACAUAAAUCAUCCAGUGAUUGCUUUCUAAUUCGAGACUUUCACGAUUACUAAAACUAUUAAUGAAACUAAUAAUGCAAAAAUUAAGAAAAUAAAUAUUGCAAGACGGCACUGAAACGGUUGUGAAAUCAAUUGGGUGAAACUGUUUAGAUUUCGAAUUCCUUUAGCCUCUAUCCAUUAAUGUUGGGCGUCUACGGAACCAACCCCUUAGCGCAUGAGGGAUACGUUUUUUAUCCCCCGACGCCGCAGAUACGUCAGUCUGUGUCGGAUACUGUCCAGCAGUCACAACAACGACAAGCCACCAUUGCGCGGACCGCUCACCAUUCCUAGACUGUGGGUACAGACAUAGUGGAUGAUGCGGGAAGAGGACUGAGCAUGUUUUAGGUGUGGUCAGAGGGUCAUUUUGUCAGGGACUGCCUUGAGGAAGACAAUCAGAGUUAGAGGUCACUAUUCAGUAGAACCGAGCUCCAACGGGGAGCUAGGUUUGAGGAGGGUAUUCUAAGGCCUGAACAUUGUCCUUUUAGGACAGAGAUCUCAACAUGGCACCAACAUCGAGAUUUAGAGUAGUGUGUACAGCACUCGUGCCAAGGCAGAAGCAACCCAAGAUGCAGUUUUAUGUGCUGUUGUGCUAAUUGAUGCAGCACAUGUGUCGAUGAAAGCAUACAUCAUGGCCGACCAAACCGAAUCACCCUCACCUACGAAGGAAGGCAAUACACCCUUAAGGCACUCUCACCAAUUGAAGUAUACCAAGACCAACUCGAGAGGAAACUAGCUCAAGAACAACGAGAAAAUGAAGAUCUCAAGCAUCUGAAACAUAAGCAAAGAGGAAACCUAGAACCGACAUCCACCUCAAGCAAAUCAAACCAAAUGAUGAUGAUCACCACUACACUCGAAGAAGAACCUUUUGAACCUAAACUAACCUAUUUUCUUUCGAGUUAUGCUAUAAGGAUAUUACACCACUCUAUCCCUCUUCUUUUACCAUUUCUUGUUUCAAUUCUCGUUCCCAUUCUAUGCAUGAUAAAAUGUGGAUAAAACCUUGAUCAAUUAAAGGAGCAAGAAAUAGGAGUAAAAUUCCACCAACUCUUUAGUUACUCAUGCCAACUAUAAAAAGGUUAAACUGCUUGAGUCCAUUAGAAACAUUGUGUUAUAUAUGUUUUCAUGAAUUUAUUAAGCUACUUAAGGUUGAAGUUAUGUUUUGUCUAAAGAGGUGGGCUCAUACUAGGUGAAGUUAUCCACAUGAAAAUGGAGGUUGAGGUUUUAUAAUUAGCCAUCAUUAUUUGUAGCCCUAACUCAAACCUAACUUGUGGUGUUUAGAAACUAAUUGCAAGAACGAUGAGGAGAUAGAGAGUGAAAAUUCCAUCUCGUAAGCCCCUAAUCAAAAUACCUAUGCGUGUUGGUUAUGAAAUAACCUUGAGUGUUGACAAACUUGCAGAUUCGAGGACUAAUCUUCUUCAAGAGGAAGGGUAUGGUGAGGCCAUCCGUCAUGAUGAACUAGAAGGCUUGGUGGGGGCCGUGCUACCAAGUGGCAAUACGGCUCCGUUGCUAUCGAGUGCCCUCGCGGCAUCACAAGCAUCAAGUCCACACCAAUUUACUCAUGGAUCCGUUUCCAUUUAUUCUCAAGGAGCCCAAACCUUAGAAGGAAUCUUAGGAGUACCAUGGAACAGCCCAAGUCAGCUAGAACCAAAGGGAAGACCCACAAGGCAUAAAUACAUAAAAUCGAUGCCUCCGAUUGGCACUACCACACCGCAAAAUGAGGCCUCGAGCCUUUUCUUCAUCAGGCCAACUUCCCUUGCACAAGGAUAAGCCCAGGAGCCUAAAUUACACCAAGGAAGCAUUCAUGCCAGUACCCACAACUCAGAGAAGUAGUUGGACUUAGGGCCACCAAAUGGCCUCGCAAGUGCACCAAAAUUAGGCCAAACGCACCCCCAACCCAAUGAAGACCACUUUGAUCACACAUGAAGGAGCAUGAAAACUCUAGGGGCUGCCUAGAGUGAGUUCAAGGCCUGAGCCAAGACUCUCGACCAUUGCACCACUUAAAAGCUCAUUUAGACCUGUUACAAGCCUACAAGUGGACCUUUCAAUUAUGGAUGAAUUUUUGCCUUAUCUUAGUUAGUUUAUUUCAGAUUUUUAAUAACUCUUGGGACAUAAGAAUACCUCUUAUAAACCAGACUUGUUGGCCAAACCUAUAAAGCCCGUAGUUUUUAGUCUCAUAGUUAGAUCAUUAAGGGCUUAACCGUCAACUUAGCUAGGGUUUUCUUGCUCCACCGUCAUCCUAUAUAAGGAGGGUGUUUUUCAUCAUUUGAGAUCAGACCGUCUUGAAUAAACAAAUCAGUUUGGCCUUUGCUUUCUUUUCGUCCAACUUCAUUCUUGCUCAGCAUUGCUGGAUGAAGGGAUGAAGGUUUAUCGAUAUAAGAGUUCUCACCUCUUAUUUUGUGGCACCAUUCAAUCCUUAUACUUAGAAGUCACUAGCUCAAUAAUAGCUAGGGAGUUCAAUUCUGUCUCUCCCUGUUUUAAGGUAGUUUUGUGUUUUGAUUUUGAUAAUUGUGUUGUUGGAGCAACGAGUCGAUAAUACUCGUGGGUUCACAUCAGAUGUGAGUUCUUCCUACCGUUGGGGAUGUAGGAAGAGUUGAAGACGUUCAAGUUUUCUAGGAAUAUCCUGAUGUGUUCUCAAAGGACCUACUGAGAGUACCUCUUGAGCAUGAGGUGAAUUUCGACAUUGAGCUAGUACCGGGCAUGACACCCAUUUCCAUUGCGCUUUAUAUGAUGUCACCGUAUGAGUUGAAGAAGAUCAAGGAACAACCACGUUUGAUUACAAAAUAUCCAACCUAUUUUAACUUAUAUUAUUAUAAAACCCAACCCACUUGAGUUGGGCUGGAUUGAAUUGAGUUGGUGGGUUUACAGGCAAAACUUACACUCCUAAUCUAGUAUAUAUAGAAGGGGUGAGGGUUUGGGGAGAAAGAAUGAGAUGGAAAAGGGGGCCAAAGAGAAAGAAGAUAGAAGGGGAAAUAGAUUGAGAUGUGGAUUUAAAAUUUUUCCGGAAACAGUGAAGACGAAGAGAAAGCUACGUCAUAGGAGAUAAGGAAUUGAAGGCUUAGAAAUAGGUUGUUGAUGUGUACAACUACCUGUUUAGUUUUGUUGAGUAAGCAUGUUGAUCGAGCAUUAUUGUCGGAAAAGUUCAUCGAAGAUAAGUGGUAGCAUUAUUGUCGGAAAAGUUCAUCGAAGAUAAGUGGUAGCAUUAUUGUCGGAAAAGUUCAUCGAAGAUAAGUGGUAGCAUUAUUGUCGGAAAAGUUCAUCGAAGAUAAGUGGUAGCAUUAUUGUCGGAAAAGUUCAUCGAAGAUAAGUGGUAGCAUUAUUGUCGGAAAAGUUCAUCGAAGAUAAGUGGUAGCAUUAUUGUCGGAAAAGUUCAUCGAAGAUAAGUGGUAGCAUUAUUGUCGGAAAAGUUCAUCGAAGAUAAGUGGUAGCAUUAUUGUCGGAAAAGUUCAUCGAAGAUAAGUGGUAGCAUUAUUGUCGGAAAAGUUCAUCGAAGAUAAGUGGUAGCAUUAUUGUCGGAAAAGAAAUGGGCUAAAUACCUAAAUCUAACACGAAUUUUGAGCAAAUUGUCAAAUCUACUCUAAAUUAUUUUGAUGACACAACUCUGGCAAAAUAAUAUUAGUCUUCUGUUGACCAAAUUUUCUGAUAGAUUUUUAACCCGAAUAAUGACGAGGUAGACAAAACUAAAAUGGCGUUUAUUUGACCGGUCAAAUAACUAUCGGCUGCCACAUAGGAAUUUUAAUUAAAAUAAACGCUAGAUACACAUUUCUUAAAAAAAUCAAAUAGACAUUAAAAAAUUAAAUAAUCACCAAAAAAGGGAGAUAAACUUCAUCUUCUCUCGCUGACUGUUUCCAUCUUCCCAUUCCUUAUUUCCACUUCAGAUCUAUGCUUUCAAAUCACCAUUCUAAGAUGAUUCCAGCGAAGUAAAAGGAAAAUGAGCAUGUAUGGGAGGGAUCCGUAGGGAAGCCCACUGGAGAUAAACACGGAGGACUGUGUCAACGACAUCAGCCGAACAGCUUUUUCAGUGGUUGCUGGUGGUGUCAAGUAAGAUUGGGUGGUGAGAAUCGAUUUAUUCCGGGUAAAGAAGAUAGAAGAAUAUGAUAAGAAGUUGAAAAGUCGACGGUGGAGAGAAUCAAAUUAUUCUGGCGAUGACUGGGAGCUGGAGGAACCGCUUUAGGAGGAGGAAAGAAGGCAACAGGUGAGAAAUCGAAGGAGGUGGAGGUGGAGGUGUUGGUGGGAUGGCGAUAAGGCAGUGGAUUACUUGAGGACAAAAUCUUUUUGUUUUAAGUUUUUGUAUAAAAGAAUAAAAAUUUUGUUUGAUGGUUUGUUUUAUUUUCAUUUUUUUAUUGAUUACUUAAGUUCGUCACAUCAUAUUCCACAUCAACAUUGGUGUUUCAUUUUCUAUUAACUUGAACGGAAGCGUUAACGAAAUCUCGUUAAAAGACAGAUUUGAGAUUUAAAAUAGUUUGGUUAAAUUUGACAAUCCGUUUAAAAGUUGGGCUAUAUUUGGGUAUUUGUCCAAAGAAAAGAGAUGUUUUUGUACAAAAUUGAAACCAAUGUGACUCCUGAGGUUAAUUAGCCGUAUAGAAGGAGAAUCGAGAAAGUCAAAAUGUUAAAUGGUGUCUGCAGUUUGUGCCAUACGCCAUACCUGCUUCUUUUCAUUUUCGAUUUUCCGCCAUAGCUAAAUCUCAAACAAACCGCCAGUGUGCUUUCGAAAAAAAAAUCAAACAAACCGCCAGUGACCCAACCAGUAUUUGGAUUCACAACACCGCUGCUCCACUCAUAGUACUAUAAUCUCAGCUAUUUGUCCACUUGCUUGCUUUCCGUUCAUGGAGAUGCCCCCGUCCGAAGAUCUGCUCCAGAAGCUUCAGGAUCUGCAAGAUAGACAAGCUAACCUCCAGCAGGAGAUGACCAAUCUUAGGCUCUCCACCGAUACCAACCAGGAGAAUAUGCUCCACCAACAGCAACAGCAGCAGCAUCACCACCAUCACCAUCACCACCACCAUCCUCGCGCUCAGUCAAUUUCUCCUCAGCGUAUGCGGAGUUUUGAAGCCGAUUCUGAGAUUAAAAGAUCCUCGCCCCCGUUCAGACCUUCUUCUACUCAGCAGAGAGAGUCUCAUGGUCCGCACAACGCAGAUGGCGGCGACGGUAAUGUUGCCGGUCCCUCGGCUAGCAAGUUUGCAGAUAGUCAGUAUUUGAAUAUCUUGCAGUCUAUGAGGCAAUCUGUACAUCUCUUUGACCUUUCCGGUCUUAUUACCUACUGGUGAGUGAGUGUUCUGUUCACUUCAUAUGUUUGUUUGUUGCGAGAAUUAUUUUAAUUUCGAUGGUUGAUCCAUGGCGGCGGAGGUUGACUAUUGGUUUCUCAGUCUGUUGAUGCGAGACUAGCUUUCUACUUCAGAUAGGAGCUAGAAUUCAGCUUCUGUUAGCAUUCAUGAUGUUGAACUCCGUGCAUGUCUUGGAAAUUGUGCAGGAAUCGAACUGCUGAAAACCUUUAUGGUUAUACCGCGGCGGAAGCCAUAGGUCAGGGCGUUGUUGAGCUGUUGGUUGAUCCGAGGGAUUAUACGAUGGCAGAGGAUAUUUUUCACCGAGUAACUCUGGGAGAGAGAUGGACAGGACAGUUCCCUCUAAAGAAUAAGAGCGGAGAUAGGUUUACUAUUGUGGCGAACAUUUCUCCCUUCUACGAUGAACAAAGUUCGUUGAUAGGGAUUGUAUGUGUUUCUAGUGAUUCACGACCCUUUCAAGAGGUUAGAUUUGGUUUCUCUCGUCCAGGAAAUUCAGAGGGCGAUUCAACUUCAAUUGGUGCUAUAAGCAAGCCUGUUCUUGAUUCACAACAACCUCUGCAGACAUCAUUCGCCUCUAGAAUUUCGACUUUGGUUAGUCUUUUAUCGGUCUACCUUAUUUGUAUACAUUUUCAGUUUUGUUUACCUUCUGCAUAUAUUAAUUGUUAUCUCAAAAUAUGAAAAUAGGCAAACAGGAUGAGCGAUAAGGUGAAAUCGAAAAUGUGUAGCAGAGAUAACAAUGUUGAUCAUGAAAGUGUUAGCGGAGAUAGCCAUCAAUCUCAUCAUAGCUUCUUAGAUGCCGCUAUCUGUGACCAAAGGGACGAUGCAAACUCUAGUGGAGCCAGUACUCCACGAGGAGAUGUUCUUCCGUCUCCUUUUGUUGCUUUCCCUGACACUGAUGAUAACUUUUCUGCAAAACAAUCGAGUCAUUCUAGUGACGAGGGAAAACCUUCUAUCCAGAAGAUAAUCGCAUCAAAAGCAGAGGCGUGGAUGGGCAAAAAAGGCUUGACAUGGCCCUGGAAAGGGAAUGAAAGAGAAGUUUAUGAAGCGAAAAGCACCAAGUUUGUGUGGCCUUGGGUGCAGAAUGAUCAAGGGACCGAAUCAAAUAAACCCACAAGUUCCUUUUCUGGUACAAAAUCUGAAAGCCACUCCGGUGAAGGUAAUCGACGUACAAAUAAUGAAGCGUCUGGGUCCUGGUCAUCCUCUGCGAAUAUUAACAGCACAAGCACUGUGAGUAGUCGUGGGAGCUCAAAUACCAGUGCUGUUAAUAGGUCAGACUUGGAAACAGACUGUUCAGACGAGAUACUAUGGGAGUAUUUGACAAUUGGAGAACAAAUCGGUGAAGGUUGUAUCUGAGUACACAUGCUCCUAUUUGGUUCCCCCUGCUUUCUCAAUAAGUCAAAUCAUGAAUUCAAUGCUUUCUUUCCGUUUUACGUUGUUUGCUGAUGUUGGGAUAUUCUUGUUAACCAGCUUGUGUACUUUUGAUGUUGAUGCAGGGUCUUGUGGGACUGUCUAUCAUGCCCUGUGGUAUGGAUCAGUAUGUUCUUUUCCUCAUCCUUAUGUCUCAUUCUUAACCCAUAUCAUUUACAUUUUAAAAAAUAAAGGAUUUACUGGUGUUAAAAUUUUUGUUUGAAAGCCACAACUGAAGUCUUGAACUGUGUUACAUAGUAUUUCACCAAUAAUUAGGUUGGGGUUUACUAUGACGACGAUUAGAUUGUUUCCUUGUCAAACUAAUAAAUCAGAUUUACUAUACAGACAAAUGUUAGUGUCACAGUUGAAAGAGGUAAAUGUUGUUUCAGGAUGUUGCCGUCAAGGUGUUCUCCAAGCAAGAGUAUUCAGAGGACGUGAUACUUUCAUUUAGGCAAGAGGUGUGAAUAUGUGUCAUAAGUUGGACUGUCUAAGUGAAACACUAUUUCUCGGUCGUUUAAGCUUCUUAAAAGUUACUGCUUUGCUGAUGAAGGUAUCACUUAUGAAAAGACUUCGUCAUCCAAAUGUGUUGCUGUUUAUGGGUGCCGUAGCCUCACCUCAGCGUCUCUGUAUCGUUACAGAGUUCCUACCACGGUACCUCCAUGCUCCAGUAGUCUAAAAAUUACUCGUCUUACUUACCAGCUUCAUGAUUCUUGUUCAUUGCAUUUCUGAUUCCUUAUGGUGAAUAUGCAAAUAUCUAUUUAGAACCAACCACCAGAACUUAUGCUGGCUAGUUUGUGACACAUUCUCAAUGUCGUGAUUAUGCAGUGGAAGUUUGUUCAGGUUACUCCAAAGGAAGACAACCAAACUGGAUUGGAGACGGAAAGUGAGCAUGGCCUUGGAUAUUGUGAGUAGUAAUGUGCUUAAUUUUCUAAAAGUCGUAUUCCUGCCUUUCAAUACUGAUCAUCAACUGUGUUUCUAUGGGAUGAGAUCCCCUGUGGAGAAGCGUCGAAAGACCAUUUUCAGUCAUCGGAAGAUGAACUGUUACUCAAAAUUUUAAUGUCCUUCCAUCUGUUUAACAGGCUCGGGGUAUGAAUUAUCUUCAUCAUUACAACCCUCCUAUAAUUCAUCGUGACUUAAAGUCUUCAAAUCUUCUUGUUGAUAAAAAUUGGACAGUAAAGGUAAGAAGCAUUUGUUUCAAUUCAUCAUUAUAAUUCUGAGGGUGCUUGUUACCCUUGAAGACGGAGAAAAAUAAAGGCAGUAAUCUCGCUGUCUAUCUAACCAGGUUGGUGAUUUCGGGCUAUCACGUUUAAAACAUGAAACAUUUCUCUCAACAAAGACUGGGAAAGGCACGGUAGGGAUUAUGGUUUGCGCCUUGCUUAGCUUAAAAAGCAUUUACUAUAUCUGUGGCUGGCUCUCAGUGUAUUAUUUUCCAAAAUUUUAGCCUCAAUGGAUGGCACCGGAAGUUAUCCGCAAUGAACGCUCAGAUGAGAAGUACGCCUUCCUUCUUUGAUUAUUCUUGCUAUUCAUCCUUCUGCAGACAGACAGUUGGAAACUUGUAAAGUGACAUUGGUUUAAAAUUUUGAUUCUCUACCAUGUAGGUGUGACAUAUAUAGCUUUGGAAUAAUAUUGUGGGAACUUGCAACCGAGAAGAUUCCAUGGGAGAAUCUCAACUCAAUGCAGGUAGGACAGUCACAGUUUUCCUUUUUCCAUCAAGAAUUAGUAAAUUCACUGAACUUCAUUCACUGAGUUCAUGUCAUGGGAUCUAAUGGUUAAAAUUUAAUCAGGACUAUAAUCUGAAAAAACUGAAGUUCAGAUUUUUUACACGUCAAAGAGCAUAUUCAGAUAUAUAAAAGAUAAUCAAUCAAUCAAUCAUUCAUAUACGUAUACUUUGCAGGUAAUUGGUGCCGUGGGAUUCAUGGACCAACGAUUGGAAAUACCAAAAGGCGUGGACCCUCGCUGGGCCUCUAUUAUUGAAAGCUGCUGUUGCAGGUACUUAUCUUUUCUUUUCGUUAUUUUCAUAAUAGAGUAACGAAAANNNNNNNNNNGUAACGAAAAUAAAAAUAAAGAAGGGACAAGAUUGUUUUUUGUUGAAUUUGAUUUGAAGUGAGAUGGUGUUGGUAAAGGUUUACUGAUUGUUUUUACCCUGCCCUCAUAUGCUACUGUGAAUAACAAUCAUGACGUCAGAACUCUCCCAGAAUCUUGGCAUAGAUUCGGGCGGAGGAAGCUCUUCCUAUUUGACCUUUUAUAUUUGUCGUUUACUUAGGUUGAUUGGAUAUGAUAUGAUAUUAUUAUAAAGUAAUAAAAUACAAAUUAUAGAUAGUAAAUUGUGGUCAUGAAUAUUGGAUUGAUUCCGACUAAUACAACUAACAUUCUGGUUCUGCAUUGAAUUGACUUGGGUUGUCUGGUAUGGGUUUGAAUAGCAUCUAAUACCCUAGCUAUUCGAGAUAUCCCAUACCAAACAAUUUCUUGAUUAAUAGACAAUUUUUUGUUUGACCCUAGAAAAAGCUGGUGAUUACUUAAUAUUGAUUUUCCAAACAUAUGAAAAUCUAAUGUUGAUAAUGUGGGUUGGAUGAGAUAAUGAAUGUUUGCUGUCUCUGGGUAUAAUGUGAGUCGGAAGUCAUUGUUGAAUCACGUCAUCCUAUCCUUCAAUUUGUUAAUAGUUAUCUGUGAAAUUUUGCUUGUUGGGUUGAAUGAAACCUUAGUGAUCCAAGCAGCAGACCGACGUUCCAAGAACUAAUGGAAAAGCUCAAAGACCUUCAUCGACAGAAUAACAUUCAGUUGCAAGCAGCACGUUCUUCUGCAGCCGGGGGAGGAGAUACGUAACGUUAACAGCAUUAUAGAGAAAUUGCAGGUAAGCACAGUAAUUAAAUACCAAACCAAAAUCUCGAGACAUUUUUAAGUGCCUAUUGUAAGUUUGAACUCAAAAUCGUUUAAGGCUCGCAUAAUCAGUACGCCAGCUUGCUGGUCGAAUUCCAGAGACUCCGGGAGAGACACUAGGAGAUCCGUAUUCUGCAUGUUUUAUCGCGAAGCGAACUGCUUCGCUGAUGUUCUGGCUGCUAAGGGGCAUGAACUCCAGCUUGGAGUUGUCAAGGAGGUACAAUCGGGUAAUGAGAUUGAUUACUGGGAGGCCCAUGAUAUAACUGGCACUAGUUGUAUGCGUUCUGUUAUUGAGUUGUAAGAGUUGUUGAGUUGUGUUUUCUCAUAAAAAAAAUAGCUCUUUCAUACUGAUGAUAUUUGAGUUGAAAUUUUUGUUGAACCAAGCGAGGUGGUCCAUUUUGUAUAUUAUAUGAACUGAUCGGCACUGAAAACAAAAAAAAAUGCAACGGUGAUGUGGUGAUGUUGUGAUGUCGCUCUACUGGGAAUCGCCUUAGCUCAUGGGGAUAUUCCAUUCAUGACACGUGUGAGCAGAGAAUCACUUAAGUAUUUGUUAAACUGAUAUAAAAGCCCAUACAUUUACUAUUAAAUGCUCUAUCAUUUAAAUUCGAUAUAUAAAUUAUGCGAAUGUCCUUUGAACUUCCUCUUUAAAUACAUAUGACGGUGGCGAAUCAAACACACUUUCUAAUUUUUGAAAACUUUCUCUUUUCGAAAUACUUUCUGAAAUCAAUCCCCAAAACCGNNNNNNNNNNNNNNNNNNNNNNNNNNNNNNNNNNNNNNNNNNNNNNNNNNNNNNNNNNNNNNNNNNNNNNNNNNNNNNNNNCUGUCAGCCGCCGCCGCUGAAACCCGCCGCCACCAUUGCUCCCAUGCCGCCUGAAGCCCCGCCGUCGCCGCUCCCCAACCACCGUCUAGGUACUUAAAAAAAAUUUGUGACGGUCUGCACGCCGACCGGUGACUGACCGUCUCAAUUUUUUUUGAAUUUAUAUUAUUAUUAUUUAAAUUGAAUUAAAAUUUAUAUUCAUUUUAGUGAAUUAACAAUGAAAUAGGUAAUGAUUAAUACUUGAUAAUUGAAUAAUUAAUCGAUUAGUUAUUCGAAAUUAAUAAUUAAGGUUAAUUUACUAAUUAAUAUAUAUUGUAACAAUUAACUUGGAAAUUAACAAUUUAAUUUACUAAUUAAUUUGGUAAUAAAAAUAAGCGAUUAAUAAUUUCUUAUUAUAAUUUAAGUUAAUUAGUCCAUAUAGAAAAAAUAUUUGAAAAUUAGCGAUUAAUCAUUAUAUUUCGUAAUUGAAUAUUUAUUUUACUAAUAAUUGAAUAUUAGUUAUUACAAUUAAGGUGAAAUAGCAAUGCUCUAAUAUAAUUAAGGUGAAAUAGUGAAUACAAAUUUAAUAUUUGUAAUUAUUAGUUCAGAUUUAAAGCGUUAGUUUUGUAAUUAAUAGUACGAUUUCAAUUGCAUAUAUAGUUAGAAGCGAUGUCGAUGGGAGAUGUUGACUUGCCGUGGUUUAUCGAUCGUACUAUUUCUGCAUUAGAUAGAAAAUUGGUGUAGGAGAAAUGGAAGGGAAAGAAAUCUAGGAUAGGGGAUGAUGGACAGUCUAGUGCGCAGUUUCAGAUUCCAUGACCGAUAUACGUGGACCCCGAUAUGCACUCUGCUAGGAGAGAGCUGACGGUUGAUGAGAUUUUUGCUAGCCAUCUUUCGGAAUUGGGCGAUGAAAUCCAUACCAUUCGGAAUGACUCCGUCGACGACGAUGAGCAGAUCCCGCCGGACGGUGACGGCAAUGAUGAUGACGAUUGUGAUGUCUCAUUUCACCCUUUCUUGUUGAAUAGUGCACGCCCGCGGAAGAAACCAUCAGGGAACCUUAACAUUUUUAAUUUUGGCCAUAUUUUUAUUGUUUAUCUCUGGUUUUCAUUUGAUUUUCUUAAUUUCUUUUAUUGGAGAAAGCAAAGCUGUGAGAGGUAAAAGAUUGUUGAUGAAGAAGAUCAUCAUUAUUCUUGCGUUUGGUAGGAUAUGGCGGGACUAUAUAUCUCCUCUAUUAGCUCUUUUUUUUGAACAACUCCUUUGUUAGUUCGUUGACAGAAAAAAUAUUGGAUUGAUGUUUUGUUUAUAAUCUUCUUCAAAACUUUUUCUUCUUCAUCAUGGUUGAUUUGAAUCCUUUUUAGAACCUUUAAAUUAUUUUCUUUCUCUUUAGAUCAAAGUUCAUAUAGUUUGGGUAUGAUCAUACCAUGUAUCAAAUUUCAUUAGAAUUUCAAAAUUAAACGUACUCGGAAGAGAGUAUUAUUAAGAUAGAUUACCAUUUAAAAAUGAGAGAAUAGUUCUAAAAUGAGUAUCUUUUUUGAGAAGUUCUUGUAUUGCAACCCUAUUUUAAUAGUGUAAAAAAAUUAAUUAAUGUUUUUUUUUGAUAGAUUACCAUUUAAAAACGAGAAAAUAGUUCUAAAAUGAGGAUCCACCGUUAGGAUUCUAACAGUAGACUAUCCGCUAUUAAAAUAAAUAAAAAAAUCACCAUUAAACAUGCAGUUUCUUGUAGUGUCUCGUCCAGAUGCGCCAGAGCCUACCCAACACGUGGCACCAGAGCAUGGAGUCGAGAUCACAGCUUUGAAGAACCAGCGUUUCCUCUUCAGCUUUGAUAACCAGUUCGACUAGCAGACUGAGGUUACUGCUAUUGUGGUGACCUGCAGCUCAUACUGCUCCAUGUGUGAAGUCUGUACUUCAGGUGGCCACAAUUUAUACGCUCAUUUUCAGACGUAUUUUGGAAUAAAUAUCGAGUUUUAAUAAAAAAAAUCAAAAUCGAAAAUCCCCCAAAGGGGUUUCGGACAAGAUGUUCACGCCUCUUUCAAAGUCGAGACGAAGAAUUCUUAUAUUAUGAAGGAAAGUGGCCAUCAGAUCCACUGGCCAGAGCCUAUGAAAAGUAAAUGUGCACCCACGACCUCAAUUCAUAUUCCGACUUCCAUCUACAGCAUGGGCACAAUAGAAAACAUUGUAGGGAACUAAAAUAUCACUACAUAAAACUGUUUGUAUAACGGUAGAAAAUUAACCGCCGUCAUUUAGCAGCGAUAGCUAACAAACCGUUGUUAGAUUUUUUUUAUUUAACGGCGGAUGUUGAGUGGCCGCAGUUAAAUGUAUAUAAAUUUAAAGACGGUCAUACAUCCACAAGCCGCUGUUAAUUAAGAAAUAGUUUAGCAACAGAUUAAUCUGAUGUUAUAUUGGCAAAUUAGUAAUUGCCUUAAACCGGACGUCACCGUUUUAUACAAUUUUUAUCCACAUCGCGGUUGCAACACUCGGUUCAAAACAGGCAAAACUCCCCCAGGCCCUUGCUUUUGUCUUUGUUGCAGAACAGUCAGAGGCAACUAACCACGAGCAAAUCAAUAGCUAUGCUGAGCUUGUUUAGUUAGAAACCUUGUGUCGUUUAUUUUCUUUAAUUCUUUUGUCAAAUGUCGUUCUUCACUUCAUUCAAAGAAACUCCAUCCUGUUGGUUAUUUCUGAAAUGGAUUUCUCAAGAAUCAGAAAAAAAAUGAUAACUCAAAUUAAGCAAAAUUAAUUACUGAUCAUUAAUCAAUAAUCUAACUUCAACCGUGAAAACCCAACUCAUUUACACCCCUACCUAUCUGCACUUAGUAGAGUGAAAUUAAGUUUAGCAACUAGAGAAACAAUCCCAUUUCUCUUUCAUUGAUAUAGUUAUAAAGGUAUUUUUCUCCAUAUGGAUGGAUGAAAGGAUAUGCAUACAGGUUAAGGAAAAUUUAGGUGGGCAGCAUAUAUCAGCUGUUGCAUUCAAUGCCAAUGGCAUCUCCAGCUGGAAAAUUACUAGUAAGCGACCCGACCAUCCACUAUAAAUUGGUACUCAUCAGCAGUGGCGCAUGCAAUUCCCCACGUACCAAAUUCGGCUGUAAACAUGAUGAGGCAGCAGCCAACUAUUGGAGUGAUACUAGUCCUGCAGCUUCUGACGCUAAUUUCUGCGUUUGGACUACCAGUCAACCACCAACUAGUAGUGUCUCCAAGCGGUGCCACUUUCGCAGGCAGAAAAUGUGUCUUCUCUAAAGGAGGUGGUACUGGUGGACUCUUUGGAGGCGGUGGUGGCCUAGGAGGCGGUGGUGGCCUAGGAGGCUUAGGAGGCGGUGGUGGCCUAGGAGGCUUAGGAGGCGGCGGUGGCCUAGGAGGCUUAGGAGGCGGUGGCGGUGGAAGCUUUGGGAGUAACGGCGGAGAAAGUGGGGGCAGCGGAAAUGGCGGUGGUGAAAGUGCUGGCGGGGGUAAUGGAAGCGGUAACGGUGGUGGUGGUGGGGGCGGUGGAAGCAGCAAGGGUGGGGGCGGGUGGGCUGCAGCGGUGGUGGUAAUAAUGGCGGUGGGUAUGGAGGAGGAGGCAACAAUGGCGAUGGAAGUUCUGGAUCGGGAUAUGGAUAUGGAUACGGUGGUGGUGGUGGUGGUCGAUCGAGAUAGAGGAGGCAUUUGGAAUGGGGAAGGAUAUGAAGUAAGUUUAUGAAAUGAACGAGAGAUCGAGCUACUUACUAGAUGAUAUGAAUCUAUAAAUGUGACUGUGGGAGGGCAAGAUAAAAUGAGUACGUGCGUGAGUAAUAAUACAAUGUCCCGCAAUAAAAGAAAUUUGAGUGUUCAUGAUGAUGAAGUUAGGUUAGUUGGCACCUAAUAAUAAUACAUAUAAAAAAUUGUUUGCCGAAACAAAAUAUGGAAUUAGAAUAUGAGCCUGCCGAAUUUUAAAUAAAAUCGGGUAAUUUGUCCCUUUUGCGUUUUACCAAGCUCACAAACAAGGCAGUCUAUUAAGCAAUGCUUAUUUUACUAGCUCAUACUUUGACCAACUUCACAAUUGCGUACUCAACCCCUCGCUUAAUCUUCCUACCAAGCAGAGCCACAUCAUCAAUUCAGGCCACAUGGCCGUCGAGAAAUAUCAUAUUUUU
rnacentral:lncRNA from 1 species